AAGAGAAAUGGAUUUGCACGUCAUGGGUAUUGAGAUAUUCAAUGAACUAGUGGGAAGGUCAUUUCUGCAAGAGGUCGAGGAUGAUGGAUUUGGCAACAUAACAUGUAAAAUGCAUGAUCUUAUGCAUGAUCUUGCACAAUCCAUUGCAGCACAAGAAUGCUAUACGACAGAAGGCGAUGGGGAGUUGGAAAUUCCUAAGACUGCCCGUCAUGUUGCUUUUUAUAACAAAUCAAUAGCUUCGUCUUCUGAAGUUCUCAAGGUCCUAUCACUUCGCUCACUUCUUGUGAGGAAUGAACAGUAUGGGAAUGGAUGGGGAAAGAUUCCUGGUCGAAAACAUCGAGCCUUGAGUUUAAGAAAUAUCCGGGCCAUGCCGAAGUCAAUUUGUGAUUUGAAACAUCUAAGGUAUCUAGAUGUAUCAGGCUCCGAGAUCAAAACACUGCCUGAAAGUACAACCUCUCUCCAAAACCUCCAGACACUAGAUCUGAGUUCUUGCAAACAGCUCAUCCAUUUACCAAAAGGUAUGAAGCACAUGAAAACUCUUGUCUAUCUUGACAUAACGGGUUGUUAUUCACUUCGAUUUAUGCCUGCUGGAAUGGGGCAAUUGAUAUGCCUGCGAAAACUUACCCUGUUCAUUGUGGGUGGGGAGAAUGGUCGUCGCAUAAGUGAGCUGGAAAGGCUGAAUAAUCUUGCUGGUGAAUUGAGGAUCGUAGAUCUUGUGAAUGUUAAGAAUUUAAAAGAUGCCACAAGUGCCAAUUUGAAGUUGAAGAAAGCUCUUUUAUCACUGACUUUAUCUUGGUAUGAGAAUGGAUCUUACCUUUUUCACCCUGGAUCAUUAGUGCCACCGCAGCAAAGAAAGAGUGUUAUUCAGGAAAAUAACGAGGAGGUCCUUGAAGGGCUUCAGACUCAUUCAAAUCUGAAGAAGUUGAGGAUAUGCGGAUAUGGAGGUUCAAGAUUUCCUGAUUGGAUGAUGAACUUGAACAUGACGCUACCAAAUCUGGUAGAGAUGGAGCUAUCAGCAUGUGACCACUGUGAACAACUUCCACCAUUGGGGAAACUGCAGUUCCUCAAGAGUCUUGUAUUGCGUGGAAUGGAUGGUGUGAAGAGUAUUGACAGCAAUGUGUAUGGAGAUGGGCAAAGUCCAUUCCCAUCUUUGGAGACGCUGACUUUUAAGUACAUGGAGGGAUUAGAGCAAUGGUCUGCGUGUACUUUUCCUCGCCUUCAAGAAUUGAGGAUAUUCGAUUGCCCUAUGUUGAACGAAAUACCAAUUAUACCCUCUGUCAAAUCACUGCACAUCGAGAGAGUGAAUGCUUCGUUGCUGAUGUCAGUUAGGAAUCUCACUUCUAUCACCUCCCUUCAUAUAGAAGAGAUUCCAAAUGUGAGGGAGCUUCCCGAUGGGUUUUUGCAAAAUCAUACCCUCCUUAAAAGCUUGACUAUUUGGGAUUGUGAUGAACUUGAAAGCUUGCCAGAGGAAGGUCUUCGUAAUCUCAAUUCCUUGGAGGUUUUAAACAUAGGUGGUAGAAGAUUAAAUUGUUUGCCAAUGAAUGGGCUGUGUGGUUUAUCUUCUCUUCGUAGUUUAAAUAUUCAAUAUUGUGAUAAAUUCACAUCCCUAACUGAGGGAGUGCGGCAUCUGACUGCGCUUGAGGAUUUGUUACUUGAAGGAUGUCCAGAGCUGAAUUCAUUGCCAGAGAGUAUCCAACAGCUCACUUCUCUCCGAUCUCUAUACAUUUAUAAUUGUCCAAAUUUGAAGAAAAGGUGUGAGAAAGAUUUAGGAGAGGACUGGCCUAAGAUAGCUCGCAUUCCUGAUAUUAGAAUCAAUUAAAAUUGAUAUGCAAAAUUUGUAAUGAUAAUAAAAUAUAUAUUUUCGUAGUUUUAAUUUGUUGUAAUUGUUUAAAUAAUUUUCUCAAAUUGAUUGUUGUUUUAUUCUUCAUAUAAAUGUGUAAAAAUGAUUGGUUCAUUAUUUGUUUUAAUUGAAACUUGUUUUACUACUGUAAUAGGUUUUUUUUCCUUAACACACAAUACUUCUCAUAAAAAAAAGCAUAAAAUUAAGCCAAUUAAGUUUUUUUUUUGGUUACUUCAAAAGAAAACUUGUAUAAGAAAAUCAACUGUUGAGGUUUCUCAACUAAAAUAUCAAUCUUAUAAACAUCCUUUUAGCCUUUAUGAAGACGUAAUUUUACUUAAUUAAAUGAAACUUAUAAUAUUUUGCGUGUUUUGCCAUUAAAGAUUGCCGUGGAAAAAUAUUCGCUCGAUUGCCUUUUAUCCAUUUAAAACUUUUUAAACUUAAAAUUAAAUAUACAUUGCUCGUACCAUAAAAAUACACAUUGAUUUUGUCCUUUUUAAUAAUAUUUAUAUAUUAAUUCAAAUUUUUUUAAAAAAUAAUUAACUUAAUCAAGUUCUUAUUUAAUUUUUCAAGAUCUAGAAAAAUAAUCCUUAUAUUAAUUAUAUUGUAAUCAUUAAUUUUUAAUAUAUAUAUGGUUCGGGGGGGUUUUUUUUGUUUUUUUUUUUUAGGUCGACCUACUAGCUAUUUGGUAAUUUUAAAAAAUAAAUACUAUAAAAAAACUAUUGACAUGUGCAACUCAUGUGUUAGCACAUGUAAGGUCGUCCAGUGACCAAAAUCAAUCAUCUACGAUGAUGUUUGGAGUGGCCCAUUGUUCGCUUCAUAUUGGCGAGAUGUGUGUUAACAGUAAAGGUGUGAUUGGGCUCUAAUGAGCUUUUUUUUCUUUUCCUUUCUUUUUUUCUCUUAACUUAGAAAUUCAUGUCAGCCCUUUCAAAAAUUGAUUGUGUCCUCUAGUUUUUAUUUAUAUUAAUUUUAGUUCUCAUUCUUUUAAUUACUAUUUGUUUUGCUUGUAAUACUUUUUUGAAGUUUUUUUUUUAAAAAAAUUCAUACCUAAAAAUUUUGUUUCAUAUAGUUUUUGUAUUCAAUUUAGUCCUCAUUCUUUUGAUUUCUGUUUUCAUAUUAUUUUCUUGGGUUUUUAUUUUUAUUUUUAACCCUCAACAUUUUAUUUUAUUUUAUUUCUUUAUCAAAUAAUGGUUCUCAUUCUUUUUAUUGCUAUUUUUUAAUCUUUUUUCUUAAUUUAUUUUAUUUUUUAAUUUAAUCCCUAAUUAUUAUUAUUAUUAUUAUUUGGAUUUUAUACCAUAUUUGAUCCUUAUUAUUAUGAUUACUAUUUGUUUUGUUUUGAAAAAAAAUAUGAUUGGAAAUUUUACUUUAUUAGUUUUUUUUUGUUUACUUUUCUGCACGGUAAUCAUAUUCUCAUGAUUUGGAUAAUUAGUUUUGAAUAUUAGCCCAAUUUAUGUUAGGUCUUUUUUUUUUCUUUACUAAUUUUUUUUUCAAUUUCAUCAUUUGACAUUGGGUUAUUGGGGUUUGAGCUUUGUUAUAUGUUCAACUUUUAUUUUUUAGUUUAUAUCGAUCUUCUAUCUCGGGUGGAGGGUUAGUCGAGUUAACACAAGUUGACUAAAUGUUUUUUUGCCUCAAAUUAUUUUUAAGAAAUUAUAUAUUUUUUUUUAUUGACCCUUGAGCUUUGUGAUUCUUUCACAUUUUUUAUGUGGGGUCAUCCUAAGUGCAGGUUAGUCAAGUUAACUUGGGUUUUAUCUGACGUUUCUUUUAUUUAACUUUAGUAUUUUAUUCUAGGUCCUUUUAAAAAAUAUAUUUAAUUUUUUUUUAUCCUGAUCUCAUAUUAUGGAUGGUAGGUUGGUCAAGUUAACUUAACUUGACCUGAGUUUUUUUUUUUUAUGUUACUUUUUCUUAAAAUUAAUUUUUUAAAAAAUGUUAUCAUUUGCCAUUAGGUCAUUGGGCUUUGAGUUUUGUUAUGUUUUUUUUUGUCACUUUCUUUUCUUCAAGGUAAUCUUGAUUUCAUAUCAUGUGUUGCAUGUAUAGUCAAGUUAAACCGUGUUGAUUGAGGUUAUUAUCGCUUAGACAUCUUUUAUUGCAUGAGAAAAAAACUUAACCACACCCACAACGUUACGCCAAACACCUACCUAUUUACUAUUAAAAAGAGAUUUAUAGCAUAAGUAAAGCCGUGUGUUUUUUUGGUUGGACUGUACUUUUUACAAAAUUUAAAUUUUUUUCUUUUGCUUUCAAUUAAAUUUUUUAAGUUUUUGAAUUGUUUUAAUAUCUUUAUAUCAAAAAUAAAUUCUAGAAAAUAAAAUUAUUUUAAUGUAUUUAAAAAACUAUUCUCUGUUAAGAAAAAUUGUAUAAUUACCAUCACCAAACAUGUGAUGUUUUGUAAUAAAAAGGAAUGAGAAAAUACAAUAAAGCCCUUGGAGGCUUAAAGAAAGGGUAAAUGAUUGAAGGGUGUUGUGGUAAUUGACUAAUAGUUGAUAAAUAUAUAUAAGAAUAAGAAAAAAAAAAAAAAAAGGAUCUGAAUUUGGAGAGAGAACCGGCAGGAGAGAAGAGAGGAAGAAGAAGAAGAAGAGAAAAGAGGGGAAAAUAAGGGAAAAAGGAAAAAGAUUGAAGAAAAUAAGUAAAAAGGUAAGAUUUAUGGUUUUAAGUGUAUAAUAUGUUAAAUUUCGGUUUUGAUUAAUUUUGAGAGUUUUGAAGUUUGUAUUUUGAGUUAAUUGAUGAAUUAAUUUGAAGGUUAGGAGUUGAUUAUUGUGGGUAUUUGAUUAAUUAGUUGAUUUUGAGAGAUUGAAUUGAAAGAUAAUGAUUUUGAGUUAUGAUUUUGUUUAAAUGGUGAAAUUUGUUAGAAAUCAGGGGAUAACAGUAGGUGAUCUGUUGAAAUUCUGGGUUUGAGGUUGAAGAUGACGAAAAUUCAGUUUGGUCCCUCAAUUUGUGAAAUUGCAGUUUAGUCCCCGAACUUUGGAAAUUUUACAGAUUGGUCCCUGGGGCAUAAAUUGAGGUUCUGAACAGAACUGAGGAUGAUUUAAGGACAAAAUUCCAGUAUAAUUAAUAUUUUCAGUUUGGUCCUCCAAUUUGACAAAUUAAUUUGACCCUAAAUUUGUAAAUCACAUGGUCCUUGGGCAUAAUUCAAGAUUCUGGACAGAUAAGGACGAAUUAUGGAUAAAUUUCAGUAUGGUAUAUAUAUUUACAAUUCGGUCCUCAAAUUUGGUAAAAUUACGUUUUGGUCCCUGUUUUGGAAAAUUGUCGUUUUAGUCCCUAAACUUGGGAGAUUAAGCCCGGUUUAUUUUAUGCAUUGGGAUCUUUUGUUUGAUUUGUUUUUGAGUAUAUUUCAUAUAUUUAUUGUAGGUUCUCCUAACGAUCCUUAAUCGGAUUUUCGGGUCUUUGUCUGACAUUCCUUUAGUUCAGUAUUUUCCGGGUGAGUGGAAUAAUCUUUAAUAUGCAUAUAUAUAUAUAAAUAAAUAUGUAUGUUGAUUAUACAAUGAGUACAACUAGUAAAUUUCUUGAAUAUUUAUAUAUGUUGCUUUAUUUUCCGAGUACUCAUUUAUUCUUGAAUUUGCACUCGCAAUCUGUUAAAGUAAAUUCUAUUUGAUAUGAUAUACGUUUCUUUGAUGAUUAUGUGAAUAUCUGUUAUGCCUUGAUAUGGGACUUGUCAGUACUCCAUGCUAACGGAGAAUAGUUAGCCUGUGUGCACAUAGUAUUCUGUUACCUAGCUGGUGAGAGAGGCAUCAGCCUGUGGCGAUUGAUCAUCCCACAGUGGUCACCGACGGGUGUCAGUCACCGACGGGUGUCAUCUGGUCACCUUCGGGUGUCAUCUGGUCACCUUCGGGUGUCAUCUGAUCUCUGACAUGUAAUCCACUACGUUAUGAUAAUAUGUUACGUUAUGAUAAUAUGUUUAGUAAGUAUAUGUAUAUGUAUAUUAAGAUAAAUCAUCUUACAAAUUAUUAAUAUCUGAAAUAUCUGAAAUGUAUAUUAAAUGUUAUUCCCUCACUGAGUUGUUGAACUCACCCUCAUUUUUAAUAUUAUUUCAGGUUCUUAGUUUCUGGACUUUGUUGAGUGUUUCCGUUUCUUCAGUUCUGGUCGGUAUGCCUUGCUUGUUCGCGAGGCUUUCCGUUCAGUUUUGAUAUGAUGUCUUAGACGCUCCACUGUUACCUUGUUUUAAUUACGUUUGGAUUUUGACAAUGUAAAUGUAUUAUGAAUUAUUAUUUUUGUUUUAAUAACUAUCUUUUGGUUUCAUCAGUAUUUGAAUAAUAUAAUAUUUCUGUAUAUUAUGAGCCGCUGCGUAUUUUUGAACAAAUUGUUCUUUUGAUAUGUCCGUUCUGAGGCUUAGCGUAGGUGAGGUGUCCUUUCAACACCGCUCCUACGUUGCCGGUCACGGAUCCGGGAUUCGGGUCGUGACAAAACACUUAUGAAUGGUAGGUGUGCCUAUAUUUGUAGAAAUUCAUAUAAUCUAGUAGUAGAAACUCAUCGUUUAAACACUUGUCUGUUUAAUAAUCUUUUCAAGACUCAACUAUGUUACUAGAUUCAUUUGCUAAAUUGUGAAUUAUAUCAAGUUCAAGUUUCCCUCGUCAGAUUUUGAUCCUUAAUCUAUUUUAGAAGUUCAAUCAGGACCAUGUUAUUCAUAGAAUUACCGGUAAGGUACGUAGCCUAUAUUUGUGAGAAGUCUUCGUAAUACCCAUUUUAUUAUGGUUUAUGUUGUACGUGUGCAGUGUCGCGACGAUCAUACUCUCUCAAGUAUAUGUAUCUAUCUAGUAAAUGUGGGGAGACAAUAAAUUCUUGUUUUUUAUCUAUGAAAAGCGGGAAUGAGAGUCGUCACUUAAUAUUUUGAUCACUAGAAACACUAACUGGUUUCAGAGAUCGGGCACGAGAACUGGUUGCAUAAAUGGAAUGUAUUAGCACCCAAAUAUACCUUACCUAAGAUAAGAUGUAUUGUUUAAUUAUCUGAUAAAAACUAAGGACUUGUCGUGUUUUUUAAUUGUUGGUAUGUCUAUGAUUUAAGAAAAGUCCUUAUGGGUGAGAAGAUCCUUAUCUUAUUAGAUAAAAACUAACCCUUCUAACAUCAAUAAAAGAAUUUAAUUUCCAGAAUAUGUCCUACGUAUAAGGUUGUAACCCCAGAUACUAAAAGGAAAAAAAUAAGUUUUUUUAGAAUUUUUGAAAUAUUAGCCUAGUUUUCGUUACUUUAAUAAACUAGUUAUUAAAACCAAAAUGCAUGUUAAAACAUAUUUUUAUAAAUUUUUUUUGUAUGAAAAUACGAAAUGAUUAUUUUUGUAGAGACUUGGCUUUAUGCAAGAAAAUAAGAUUUUUUCUUUUAAUUUUUUUUUUAAUAUUUUUGAGAAAACUAGGUAUUUUAAUACCAGAUUUAUAUUGUUACAGUAUAAAAAUACAAAUCAAUAUUACAUAAAAUUGAUAGAAAAAUGCAUGGGAUAAUUAUGUAUUGAACCAAUUAGAAAAAUCAAGUUGACAGAUGUUGUCUUCAAAUCACCGGGGUGUUGCUUAUCAGAAACUUCAACGCUUUAAUACAGACUGGCAUGGCUACUCAAGUCUGCACCGUGUGGAGCCUAAUCAGUAUAGUUAAAAGACUGCGAUUCUAAUAUUUUGAUAAAACUGAACCACCACACUAAAAUCAGUAAUAAAAUCAGUAAAAUCUCAUCACCAAACACCUUCACCUUUUCCAUUUCUCAUCUCAUAUUGCUCUUUCUUCUCAAUAUUAACUUACCAUUUCUUGCUCACCUCCCCGCUUUUAGUUUCCGUGCACCUUUUCUACUUCUCAACAUCCAAUUCCUUUGCCUUCGAAACAAGCUAUGGCGGACGCAGUUGUUUCUGCUGUAGCGGGUGCAAUCUUGGAGAACUUGAGGUUGCUGUUCUCAAAGAGGUUGGGCUUGCUCGAGGCCUAGACACCGAGCUUGAGAAUCUCGAAAGCACCUUCGCAAUGGUUCAAGCUGUGCUCCAGGAUGCGGAGGAGAAGCAAUGGAAGAACAAGGCUUUAGCGAUUUGGCUAAGACGCAUCAAGGAUGCAGCUUAUGAGGUUGAUGAUGUACUGGAUGAGUUUUCAAUUGAAGCUCAAAGGCAUCGGCUGCAAAGAGAUCCCAGAAACCGACUGAGAUCCUUCUUUACUCUCGGUCAUGGCCCCCAUCUUUUUCGAUUGAAAAUGGAGCACAAGUUGAAAAAUGUGAGAGAAAAAUUGGAUGCCAUCGCCAAUAAGAAAAACAUGUUUGAUUUAACACCAAGAACUGUAGACAUAGCAGCUGAUGCCUAUGAUUGGCGGCUUACCAACUCACUCGUGAAUGAGUCAGAAAUUUGCGGAAGACGGAAGGAGAAAGAGGAAAUCAUCAUGGGAUUCUUCUUGGUAUAUUUUCCUCGCCACUUGGGAUUUUAGACUCUAAUGUAGCUGAACUAAAAACGGUUGUCAAAACUAUUGAAUUAUCAACUUCUAACUAUCAUCUACAUCAUAAACACAUUAUUGUUGAAUUUGACUCGACCAAUGUCAUUAGCUGGAUGAAUAACCCUCAUAAUAGACCUUGGCUGCAUCAUAAUCUUUUCUCCUCUAUUCAGAGAGUAGCUUCAUGUUUUGGUUCACUCACAUUCACUCAUUCUCUUCGUGAGAGUAAUCAUAUGGCAGAUCACAUGGCAAAAAAGGGGUUGUUUAGAAACUCUGAAUGGGUCGCUUGGCUCUAAUCUGCUUGAUAUUUAGGCCUUUCUUUUUCUUUAAAUUCUGGUUGCGGAUGCUAAGGAAACUUGAUUGUUUCCCAGAUUACUCUAUUUCUAGAAAGGAGAAGAAUCAUCAAACUAUAUAGAAGCAAUUCCAGCUGGUCAGAUCUUGGUUUCAGAUUCUGAUGUUGUAAGUCUAGGGGCUUCUGUUGAUGAGCUUCCUUUUGCCUGCUAUGGUUUUCCCUGUGUUAAUGCGUCGAGUGUCUUGGUUCUUUUAUUGUUAAGUUGUCAAAGGCUGUUCUGUGAAGAGUCCAUGGCUCGUCUUUUGUUUCGGAUAAGAAGAUGCAAGAUGGAAAGAUUUUGUUUUACUACUAAUCUGGAUAUUGGUAGAAGUCUGUUUGGUUUCUUAUCCUGGUGUGGCUCCAAAUCUGCUUCUUUCAGCUGCUUCUUUGAUUCCUUGGCUUCAAAUAUAUAUAUUGUAGCCGCUAUUUGUUCUUUUCAUUUCUUGGUAUGUUAUUCAUUUCAUUGCAUAGUUCUGUUUAGGUGUCCUGUAAACAGAAUCUCUAUGUUCCCGUCAUCUAUUGGCGUCUUCUUAUGCAAUAUUAUGCUUCUCAAAAAAAGAAAGAGGAACAACUCAAAAUCCUGCUCACUAAUGACGACGAUCUCCCUAUUUAUGCUAUAUAGGGAAUGGGGGGACUCGGGAAAACGACACUUGCUCAAUUGGUCUCCAACGAAGAAAAGUUUAAACAACAAUUCGGUUUGAGGAUCUGGGUGUGUGUGUCUACUGAUUUUGACUUGAGAAGAUUAACAAGAGCCAUCAUGAAGCCCAUUGACGGUGCCUCUUGUGAUCUUCAAGAAUUGGUUCCCCUGCUACAACGCCUUCAACAAAAGUUAACUGGAAAAAAGUUUUGCUUGUACUGGAUGAUGUGUGGAAAGAUUAUACUGAUAGGUGGAGUAAAUUGAAGGAGGUACUAAGGUGCGGAGCUAAAGGUAGUGCUGUAACAGUAACUACGCGUAAUGAGAUGGUUGCUCGUAGAAUGGCAGCAACUUUUGUCCAGCCCAUGAGGAGGUUGUCUGAAGAAGAUUCUUUGCAUUUGUUUCAACAGCUUGCAUUCGGGAUGAGAAGGAAAGAGGAGUGGGUGCGCCUGGAAGCCAUUGGAGUAUCAAUAGUGAAGAAGUGUGGAGGAGUUUCUUUAGCUAUAAAGGCACUCGGGAACCUAAUGCGGCUAAAAGAAAGUGAAGAUUUGGGAUCUAAGAGAAGAAGCAAGCGAGAUUUUACAUGGAGAAAGAACAAAAUAUUAGAUUCUUUCCAAAACCUUCAGGUAUAUAGAACCAAAACUACCAUCUCUGUUAUUUUCUUUUCAACAUCUUCAAUAAAAAACCGCAGGCAAUGGAUGAGGUUGCUAGGAAGCAACGUUUGGUUCUUAUUACAUAGUCUGGGAAAAGUCAUAGUGCACCAAGUGAAACCUAAAAAUCACACAUCCUCAUGAAAUGUUUCAAUGUGCCACAUCAGGUGAAUUCUUAAAUUUACACAAUCACCUUUAGUUAGUCUAACAGCUUUGUCUUUCUUCUCAUGUAACUUAGAAAAAUAUUUCCAAAAAACUGCCCUCAAUCUAUCGGACAAACAUCAAGUCAUCUUAUAUGCAGGGACUCUAUUCAAGAAGUUUGUAUAUGAAGCCAACACACAUCAGGUGAGUUCUUGCAUUUACACAAGUUAAUUCUUGAUUAAUUAGUUUAACAGCUUUUUCUUUCUUUCUCAUGUACCAUGGGGAAAUAUUUCUGAAACAUUACCCUCAAUUUAUAGUCAACAAACAUCAAGUCAUCUUAAUUUAUAAUUAACAAACUAUAUCCAAGAAGUAUGUAUAUAUAUAAGUCACAUAAAAUCAAUUUAAAAAAUAAAAUAUUUUUAAAACACAAAAACAAAUUGAGUUUUAAUCUUUUUACAUUAACUUCUAAUUCUCUUUUUCUGUUUUUCUUUGUUCAACAUCUGAGAAAUUAUAAAUUAUAUUAUGUUCAAGUUUUUCUGGUCAGAUUAUGUUCCUUAAACUAUGUUUAAAAGUUCAUUAAUGGUAUAAUGUUGCUAAUGAAAGUACAGUUGAAGUGGUACAUUUUCAUAAGAAGUCCUCGUAAAAGCACCCAUUUUAUUGAUAGUUUGAAACUAAAUCCAUUUCAUCAUCUUUUGCAAUUUCUUGCAAAAGGAAACUUGGUGUAUUUCGAUGAAAAUAUAUUUGAUCUUUCCCACAAUGAAAGUGGAUGACUUGCUUGUUUCUUAUAGAAUAUGCAUCUGUAUAUAAAUAAAAACAUAUUAAUCUAAAAACAUAAGUGGUUAUGUGAAGUUUUAAUAUGUGAUUUAUAUUAUAUUUUAGAAUAUAUUUUGUGUGAUUAAUUAAUUUUAAUUAGAAUAAAAAAUGAGAAUAUUACUCACAAUUGUUUUAACAUCAAAGCUUUAAUAAGAUAUUAAAUAACUAUAUAAAAAAAAUAUAAACCAUUAAAUAAUACUUUAAAAUAUUAUUUAUAUUAUUUUUAACGCUUUUCAGCCAAGAUCAAAACCUCGCAAUAGGAACUGGUUUUAGUAGGCCACACAUUACCCCUCUAACAAACUAGAUGUUUUUCCUAAUUUGCCACCCAAACUAAAAUUCCUAAAGUUCAACCCUGAUCAUUCACUGACUGGUUGCUCACCGUCGGAUUUCCAACCUGAAAUGCAGAACCACUGCAAUAAUGUUGAAUAUGUCCCUGAAAAGCUAAACUUAUUGUAUUUCCAUGGAAAUAUAUUUUGAUCUUUCCCACAAUGAAAGCAAGUAAUAUAUAUAUAUAUAAAAUUUAAAAUUGUUAUGUAAAAUUUUAAAAUGUGAUUUAUAUUAUUUUUUAAUAUAUAUUUUAUGUGAUUAAUUAAUUUUAAUAAAAAUAAAAAUAAAAAUAAUAAGAUUUGAAUUCGUGAUUGUUUAAGCAUCAAAGCUUUAAUAUAAUAUUGAAUAACUAUUUAAAUAAAAUAAUUUAGACCAUUAAAUAAUUUUUUAAAAUAUUAUUUAUAUUAUUUUUUAAUAUUUUUCAGCCACACGUAUCAAAAGCUCGCAAUGGGAACUGAUUUCAGUGUGCCACACAUUACCUAUCCAUGUUCUAAAGGUUCUAGCUGCAAGUUUCAUGCUUUGCCCUGUUUUAAUGAGGAUAUAUUCUGAAUUUCAUUUUAGAAAAGCUUUAUUUUAUUAUUUUUUAUUUAAGAAAAGGUUAUGAUGUAAAACGUGAUGGAACUUCUAUUGGAUAAAAAAUAAUGUGAAAAAACUUCAUCCCUGAUAGUAGACAUCUCUCAUUUGAGUCACACAUUCAUACAUAUCAAUUUUUAUUUAAUAAAACUUUGUUAUUUUGGACAAGAUUUCUGUUAAAAAAAGAGAGUAUAUUUUGGAUAGUAAACCCGAUUAAAGAAUGCUGGGCACUUUAGUAACCUAAUUGAAAAUGAUAUUUAGUUUCAGGAUUUUAAAAGUGUUUAAAAUUAUGAUAAAGGAUUCUUUUCAAAAUAUUUUUUUAUUUGAAAAUAUAUUAAAAUAAUAUUUUUUAUAUUAACAAAUCAAAAUAAUAAAAAAAAUACUAAAAAUAUUCAAUUGAAGCUUUUAAAAUAAAUUUUAAAAUUUUAAAAAGUGUUGUUCAUCAAUUGAUAGGUGGCGAACUAAUUAAAGUUAAGGAAAUUCAAGUUCCGAAUCCUCAACUAACUCCAUUUUCUACCUUUUAAAAUUGCUCGGCCCAGCCCAGCCCAACUAUCACCAACACCAUGUAACUAACUUAAUUUCGCGCCAAUCCUCAACAUCAACGGCCCCCCUGGUCUCAGUUCCCGCCGUCCAGUUCUCCACACCAAAUCUGUCCAAGGUCACUCGUUGUUCCCCUCAAUCUCUCAUGCACAUUCAUAUGCAUCGAUGGAAUUAGGGUUUAGGUCGCUGUAAUAGUUUAGUUUUCAGGCUGAAAUGUAACAAAGACCGAUUUGAUUUCACUUUCAUGUAUUAGAAACUCAUUUGACUUGUUCAAGAAAUCGGAUUUGAGGUGGGUUUUAUACAAUUUUCCGAGAUUAACUUCUUCUUUUUUGUGUGUUUCUGGUUUGUUAAUUGUGGUUGUUGAUGGAAGUAAUUGGUAAUGUAGUUUAUGUAGUUGUAGAAAGUCUCCAGUCAACACGUUCAUUGAUUGUUUCAAACUUGAGCAAAUCAUAUCCAUUGCUGACUGUUUGAUGGUUAAUCACUAGUCUUGUUUAACAAUUUUUUCAAGGAUCUUUAAAUAAUCUCUCACUCUCUGCCUGUCUCUCAACUUUUGGAUGUUGCAUUAUUACUUUGGGUUUUUCUUUUGAUGGUACAACAAUUAACAAAGAGAUAUUUGAAACCACAAUCCAACAAUGAACAAAGAAAUAUUUCAAAAUCGCAACACAGUUUUGAUCAGAUUUUUUUUUUUAAUUAACGUGGGUAUCCGAGCUACUUUGCAGGCACCUCGACUAACUUCACGGGCCCUGAAGUUAACGACCAUGUAAGUUUCCAGUAGCCAUCAUAUAAGCAAUCACAGUACUCGAACUAGAAACCACAGUGAAAAUAAAUUUUUUAGUUACAAGCUCUUAUUACUAGACCACUUUGUUUUGAUUAGAUCUUUUGCGAUCUUUGGAUAUGAAAUCUUAUCUUUUCUUCAAUCUUUAGGGAGUAUACAAAAGCAACCCCACAAUCUUAUAUUUUCUUCCAUCUUUUAUAUCUUUUCUUCAAUCUUUAGGGAGUAUACAAAAGCAACCCACAAUCUUAUAUUUUCUUCCAUCUUUUAUGUCCAUUCAUCUAAUUUGAGCCAAUCUUCUCUGGCGUGUGAUUCCCGAUUUGUCAAGUCUACAACGUGUGAAGCCCACGCGGAUUGGCCAGUGCGGGACAAAGACAUAUACCGGGCAAAUUCAAGUUGAUGAAUGUUUGUCUUCAAAUCACAGCCAUGUUCCUUCUCUGAAACUUCAAUUGCUUUAAUAGAGGCAUAGUUAGUCAAGUCUGCACUGUGUAGAGCCCAAUCAAUAUAUAGUUAUAGAACUGCAGUUUUCAUAUUUUAAUAUAAUUAAAACCACCACAUUAAUUACAAUUAAAUUGCCAAAAAAAAAAAAAAGCUAGCAGUAAAACACUUUGAUGCAAGAAACAUUCUACUAUUCAAUAUAACAGUAUAAUUACACUUUUAUUAUUCUAAAAAAAACUAGCAAAGUUUCUUCUAAUCGGGGUAAAAUCAACUUUUCUACUGAUCAAUUAUGCAUUACAACAUUGAAUGGUAACAAAUUAGUCCAUACACUUUUCUUUUCAUGGUGAAAUGAGUUUAUUGUUGAGUUUCUUCAAAAAUAUAAACGCAAUAAAAAUAGUAAAACAAAAUUAUUUUGAAGUCCUUAAGAUCCCGUUAGAUAAAUCUAGAAUUGUUUUAAAAUUUAUUGCCUAAACAUUUAAUUGUCUAGUAUCCAACGAUAAUUUACAUGAACCACUAGUGAUAAAUCUUCUAAAUCUCUAAUUAGAAGAGAGAGAAAUUGUUAUGCUUAGAGUAUUAGCUCUAAUUUUAUGUUUACAUAGUUUUUUAAUCUAAUUGACAAUCUCAUAAAAAAUAAAAAGGCAUAACUUCCUAUUUAUAGAGAAAUAUAAAAAAAUCCAUAUAAAUUAGUAAAAUAUCAAUUUGUCCCCUGAAUAAUAUCCAUAUAGUAAUUAAAAAAAUUAGAAAUUAACUCAAUCAAGCACUUAUUUGAUUUUUCUAGAUCUAGAAAUAUAAUCCUUGUAUUAAUUAUAUUCUAGUUGUUAACUUCUAAAAUAUAUUUUAAUCAAGUCAUACAAAAUGUGUAGGUGAGGUGCGUGCUCACAAUAAAUGUGUGGUGGGCUUCGAUGAGCUUUUUUUUUUUUUUUUUCCUCUCUCUUUUCUUUAUCUUAGCUUAGAAAUUCAUGCCAGUCCUUCCAAAAAUUGAUUGUGUCCUCUAGUUUCUAUUUCUAUCUAUUUUAGUUCUCAUUUAUUUUGAUUGCUCUUUUUUUUUUUUGGUGUUUUACCCUUUUCUUGAUUUGUUUUUUUUUUUUCCUUCAUCAUUUUAUUUCCGUUAAUUGUUUUUAUUCAAGUUUGAUCCUCAUUCUUUUGAUUUCUUUCUUUUUAUUACUUUCUUGAUUUAUUUUUUUUUAUUAUUUUUAACACUCAACAUUUUGUUUCAUUUAAUUUCUUUAUUAAAUAAUAGUUCUCAUUAUUUUUAUUGCUAUUUUUUUAAUUUGUUUCCUUAAUUUAUUUUAUUUUUCAAUUUAAUUCCUAAUUAAUUUUUCAUUUGGUUUUUAUAUCAUAUUUGAUCCUUAUUAUUUAGAUUACUAUUUAAAAAAAAAAACCUUAUGAUUGGAAAUAUUACCUCGUUAGUUUUUUUUUUGUGUGUUUACCUUUCCGCACAUAAUCAUAUUCUCAUGAUUUGGAUUUUGAAUAUUAGCCCAAUUUAAGUUAGGUUUUUUUUUUUUGUCAUUUACUAAUUUUGUUUUUCAAUUUUAUCAUUUGAGACUGGGUUAUUGGAGUUUGAGCUUUGUUAUUUAUUCAACUUUUAUUAUUUUGAGUUUAUCUCGACUUUAUAUCUUAGAUGAAAGAUUAAUCGAGUUAACCCGAGUUUAUUAAUAUUUUUUUAUUAAAUUGCUUUUAAAAAAUUAAUUUUUUUAUUAUUAUUGAUUUGAGCUUUGUGAGUCUAUCUCGAUCAUGCUAUUGGUUGCAAAAUUUCUUUGUGGAGAGCCACCUAAAGGACGUUCUUGACUUUGAUCCCACAAUCUUAUAUUUUCUUCCAUCUUUUAUGUCCAUUCAUCUAAUUUGAGCCAAUCUUCUCUGGCGUGUGAUUCCCGAUUUGUCAAGUCUACAACGUGUGAAGCCCACGCGGAUUGGCCAGUGCGGGACAAAGACAUAUACCGGGCAAAUUCAAGUUGAUGAAUGUUUGUCUUCAAAUCACAGCCAUGUUCCUUCUCUGAAACUUCAAUUGCUUUAAUAGAGGCAUAGCUAGUCAAGUCUGCACUGUGUAGAGCCCAAUCAAUAUAUAGUUAUAGGACUGCAGUCUUCAUAUUUUAAUAUAAUUAAAACCACCACAUUAAUUACAAUUAAAUUACCAAAAGAAAAAAAAAUAAAAGCUAGCAGUAAAACACUUUGAUGCAAGAAACAUUUUACUAUUCUUUAUAACAGUAUAAUUACACUUUUAUUAUUCUAAAAAAAACUAACAAAGUUUCUUCUAAUAGGGGUAAAAUCAACUUUUCAACCGAUCAAUUAUGCAUUACAAAAUUGAUUGCUAAGAAAUGAGUCCAUACACUUUUUUUUUAUGGUGAAAUGAAUUUUGUUGAGUUUUUUUGAAUAAUAUACACGCAAUAGAAACAGUAAAAUAAAAUCAUUCGGGAGUUCCUGUAAUCCCAUUAAACAAAUCUAGAGUUAUUUAGGGAUUUAUUACCUAAAUAUAUGAUCUUCUUUGGCUUUGAAUAAUUCUUUAAAGAUUGAGUUAUUACAAAUCACAAACCAUCUAAUUGUCCUACAUCCAUUAGUAAUCCACACGAACCACCAAUAUAAAAUCUCUUAAAUUCAUAAUUAAGAGAGGGGGAUUGUUAUGUCUAGAAAGUUGACUCUAAUUUUGUGUUUAUGUUGUUUUUCUGUUUAAUUGACAAUCUUAUAAAAAAUAAGAGGCAUAACUAACUAUUUAUAAGAAAAUCUGAAAAAACCUUAUAAAUUAAAAAAAAUAUCAAUUUACCCCUUUAAUAAUAUCCAUAUAUUAAUUCAAGAUAAUUUUAGAAAUUAACUCAUCAAGUACUUCCUUGAUUUUUCUUAGUCUAGAAAUAUAAUCCUUGUAUUAAUUAUAUUCUAGUCAUUAGUUUCUAAAAUAUAUUUUAAUCAAGUCAUACUUAAUUAAAUAAUCCUAGUUUAAUUUCUACCUGAAGGUUUUUAAUGUGCGUCACCUAUUAAGUUUUUAAUAUGUUGGUCCAAAUAUAAAUUAUAAUUAUAAUUAAAUAAAUUAAAUAAUUUAAUUUAUUAUUAAUUCAACAAUUGAUUAAUUUAUAUUUGAAGACAAGGUGCAACAUCUAUUAUUGUGUCAUGAUUUUCUAAAUAUUAGAAAAGUCAUCAGUGGUUUGACUUAACCUUCUAGUGACAUGUUUCUCAGUAUAAUUGGUAUCCUUUCAUCAAUAAUGUUUUGAUUUAACAUUAAAGUAUGGAGUAUGUCUGCUAUGUUAAAUCAUGUUUAUUAUCUACAUAAUAGUCAUUUAUCAUUUAAAUAAGAUUUAGAACUUUUUUCAAAUCUCAUUCCACCUUAAUGAAGAAUUUCUCUAUAUUUACUAUUUGAGAACAGAUAAAACAUUUUUUUAAAUUCACUUAGGCUGAUGAAUCCUUUCUUUAUCACCCAAUUAUUAUUUAUUUUUUUUAAGAAUAGUGAAGUGACAAAAUUGCCUUUAAUAUAUAUAUAUAUAUAUAUAUAUAUAUAUAUAUAUAUAUAUAUUGCUCUAAGGGGGUUUUUGUAUUUUUAUUUUUUUUUAUUUUUAGGUUGACCAGGAGGCUGUUUAGUAAUUUUAAAAAAUAAAUAUUAUAAAAAAAUUAUUGACAUAUGCAACUCACGUGUCAGCACAUACAAUGCCAUUAGGUGACCAAAAUCAGCCAUCUGCAAUGAUGUUUUGAGUAGCGCAUUAUCCUCUUUGCAUUGGUGAGGUGCAUGUUAACAUUAGAGAUACAGUUAGGCUCCAAUAAGCUUUUUUUUUUUUUUUUCCUCUCUCUUUUCUUUCUCUUAGCUUAGAAAUUCAUGUCAGUCCUUCCAAAUAUUAAUCGUGUCCUCUAGUUUCUAUUUCUAUCAAUUUUAAUUUUAAUUUUUUUAUUAUUUGUUUUGAUUUUAAUACCUUUUGAAGUUUUUUUAAAAACAAAAUUCAUACCUAGACAUUUUGUUUCAUUUAGUUUUUGUAUCCAAUUUUAUCCUCAUUCUUUUGAUAGCCUUUUUUAUUUUUUUGUGUUUUACCCUUUUCUUGUUUUUUAUUUUUUAUUUUUUCCCUCAUCAUUUUAUUUCCUUUAAUUUUUUUUUAUUCAAGUUUGAUCCUCAUUCUUAUUAUUUUGAUUUAUUUAUUUUUAUUAUUAUUUUUAACCCUCCACAUUUUAUUUCUUUUUAUUUCUUCAUCCAAAAAUGGUUCUCAUUAUUUUUAUUACUAUUUUUUAAUCUUUCUUCUUAAUCUAUUUUAAUUUUUAAUUUAAUCCCUAAUUAUUUUUUUAUUUGGUUUUUUUACCAUAUUUGAUUAUUAUUAUUUUGAUCAGUUUUUUUUUUGUUUACCUUUUUGCACGGUAAUCAUAUUCUUAUGAUCUAGAUCAUUAGUUUCAAAUAUUAGCCUAUAUUUGAUCCUUAUUUUUUUUAAUUUAUGUUUUUUUAUCAUUUUAAUUUUAUCAUUUGACAUUAGAUUAUAGGGCUUUGAGCUUUGUUAUGUUUUUUUUUCACUUUCUUUUUCUCAAGGUUAUCUCGAUCUCAUAUCUUAUGUCACGUGUCGCACCCUAAAAAAAAUCCAAUUGCGGGUUCGACUGGCGACUUUUCAUUUUGGUUUUUGCUGAUUUGGUUCUUUAGAGCCGUCACCUAGUAUUUUGGUCAUUAGGAACCCUAACUGGUCUUUUAAAGAUUCUAAGGUAAGGGACUGAUUGCGUAAAGGGAAGGUAUUAGCACUCCUAGUACGCCCUACCUAAGGUAAGCUGCUUGAUGUUUGGUUUGCUCUUAUAAUCUAUGGUGUUGGUGUUUUUUAGUCUCGUCAAUUGAUUUUGGAUAGAAAUAUAAGGAGAUUCCAUGUGCUUUGAAAGCUCAUUUUUCCCUUAGUAUUUCAAAAGUUUGCGACUCGUAAAUCGUGGAGUAAAAAAAAUUAAAUUUUGAAAUGUCCCCGAUUAUAAUCAAGGCUUCUUUCAAGAAUGUGUGCAGAUUUAUUACUCCUAAUAAUAUUUUGGAUAUUUAUCCUUUUAAGGAUUUCUUUAUCCAAACAUUAGCUGUAAAUAAUAAAUGAAUUUCCUCCCUAAAAAUAAGAUUUUUAUAGUUUUUGGAAUAUUGGCCAAUACCCUUUGGAGUUUUACAAACAUGUUGUAAAAUCCAGAAAUGCAAGAAAAUAAUUUGUGUUUAAGAAAUCAAUGCGAAAACACAUUUUCAAAGCUUCCAAUAUAUUUUUUUUUGUAAAAAGAACAUUCAAAACAUGUUAGAGUAUUGGCCGUAUGAAACACGCAAGAAAACUUUUUUUUUUUUUUUUGACAAAAACGGGGUAUUUUAAACACUGAAUUUGUAUCUCCACGGUAUAAAAAUACAAACCAAUGUAAAAAAAAUCAUAAAAAAAAUAUGCAAGAAAAAUCAACAAUAUUUUUAAGGAAAUUUUUUAGAAUUUUUGAAAGCAAACAGACAUUUUUUUUUCUUUGAAAAUCUGGAUGUCUUGACGAAAACCGGGUAUUUUAAACACUGAAUUUGUAUCUCCACAGUAUAAAAAUACAAACCAAUGUAUAUAAAAAAUAUAUAUAUGAAAAGAAAACAACAAUAUUUUUUAGACUUUUCGGAUUUUUUUUAUUUUUAUUUUUUUUAAAAAAAAUAAUAUAUAUAUAUAUAUAUAUACACACACACACACAUGCAUAGUAUAAUAUAAUAUAAUUAAAUAAAUAUAUUAAUAUAUUAAGUGGGCUGGGCCGGCCCAACUAACUUGGCCGGAUCCAGCCCCAAAAGUCGUUGGGCCGAACUCGGCCCAAAAAGGAUUGGCCCGAUCUCGGCCCAACGAACUAAUUAACCUCGGUCUGGGCCGGACCCAACCCAAACCGCCAGAUUGGGCCAGAAUCCCUCUGGCCCGUCCCGCAUAGUUUUGGGCCAGACACCAUCUGGCCCAGAGAAGGGAAAAGAGAGAGCACGGGGGGGGGGAAUUAUUUCCCCCCCCGCCUCUUGCAUGCAGAACGACUCUACAUGCAGGAGGCAAAACUGAUGCAGGUUUCGAAAAAAAAUACAGGGGGGAAAGGAAGCGUACCUGGGGCGGCGGAGACGGUGGCUGGCUGGCGGUGCUGCGGUGGAGGCGGUGGCAGCGUCCUAGCUCACGGACGGCGACUCCUCACGGUGAUUUCGAAACAAUCCGGCGACACCCUCUCGCUUCGUUUUCUUCGUUUUUGUUUUCUAAAUUCCCUCCCAACGUUAAACUUUCACUCUUCUCUUGGUUUUUUUGGGGUUUUCGGUGGCUCUCUCUCCUCGGUUGGGUGUUUCUCUCUCUUCCUCUCUCUCUUCAUUUUUUAGUUCUCUUCGGGUUCCUCUCCUUUUUCUUUUUCUUUUUUCGUCCCUGUUUCUCUUAUUAUGUUCUCUAUUUAUAGAGCCAGGGGGCGUGGCUUCACCGUGGAGCCAAGGAGCGGCUGUCCAGGCGGACCUCCCUCGGUUUCGGCAGCGCGGCGGGUGGUCGACCAGUGUCUUCUGUCGGUGGUCCACCGGCGUGGGGCCUUGGUUGGUCGAGGGACCUACAAAAAAAUGUAAACAAUGCAAACUUUUCCUUCUUCCCCGCUGUAUGUUCAGGGGAAGAAGAAAGGUGAACAGUGCCGUUCAAAACGGCAAAGUUCGGUCUUCUCUUUUUUUUUUUUUUUAUGUAUGAAACGGCGUCGUUUUGGAGAAAACGCGCCGUUUCAUUUAAAAAAAAGGCGCCAGAACGUUUGUUUUUGAAUCAGUCCUUAAUCAUCUUUGUUCAAUUCAAUUUCGUCCCUGCCAAUUUCGGUCCGUCCCCAUAGUUGGCCGCGUUUUCCACUUUGGUCCUUGGCCUCUGAUUUAUGCAAUUUAGCCCUCAAUUGAUCAAUAAACUUCUAAUUUCUUCAAUUAAGCCCCCUGAAUCAAUUCCAAACAGCCCCCUCUAUCUUUGCGCCUUUUCCAAAUUGGUCCCUGGUUUCGGAUUUUCACAAUCAAGUCCCUAAUUGGCCAUUAAACUUCAAUAUUUAUGCAAUUAAGCCCCUGAUUUGACCCAAUAAAUUCCUAAAAAUUAUAAUAUGGCCCCAGAACUUUAAUUUCUUCUAAUUAAAACUCAAAUUGACUUAAAAAUCAAUUUUUCUUGCAAUCAAAUCCCCUAUAAAUUCAAAUAAAAAUCCAAUUAAGUCCAUAAACAUCCAAAUUUGGGCUUUUCUCCUCAAAAUUCAAAUUUUCCUUCUCAAUAGGGCUCUCAUCCUUCAAGAAUAUAUUGUCAAAAAAUCCGCCUUUGCCUUUUUAAAUUCCUUGACCAAUUUUGUGACCAUUUCUGAGCGCUUCUGCCUCCUAUUAUUUUUUCUAACCUCUUUUGGCUAUUUAUUUUAUUUUUUAUGGGGACUCAAAAAUGGGUUACAAUAGAUGCCCCCUCUUUAUAAUACUUACGGAGCAGGGGUUUUGCGCAGUAAGUGUUAUAAAGAUAAACUCAAAACAGAACUCCCGAAACUGAUCUGGUCGAAGCUUGAUUGAUCUGAAACUUUGUUUUUUACAACAAUCCUCCUUAGCCCAAAAACUAUGAUCAAAACUUAGCCAUCUCGAGAUCCUUAUCCGGCGAUCCUCUGAAUAUCGAAAUACGAGAUCCCUUCUGGCGAUCUCCUUUUAACUUGGAAUCCCAUCUGGCGAUUCCUUUACCCAUAACCAAUACAAAAAUGCGUGUGUGGUCUCAUUAUGAUGGGUGACCAGCUCGAGUGGGAAAUGGAAAGAGUGGUCUCAUUCUAUUGGGUGACCUACCCAGGGGAAAGAGUGGCCUCAUUAUUAUGGGUGACCUACCCAGGUAAAAAAAAAAUGGAGAAUGGUCUCAUUCUUAUGGGUGACCUACCCAGGAGAAAAAAAAAAUAAUGGUCUCAUUGUGAUGGGUGACCUACCCAAGGAAAAAAAAAGGAAGAGUGGUCUCAUAUUUUGGGUGACUUACCCAGGGGAAGAAUGGCCUCAUUCUUAUGGGUGACCUACCCAGGUAAAAAAAAAAUGGAGAAUGGUCUCAUUCUUAUGGGUGACCUACCCAGAAAAAAUUAUGGUCUCAUUCUUAUGGGUGACCUACCCAGAAAAAUAAUGGUCUUAUUGUGAUGGGUGACCUACCCAAGGAAAAAUAAUGGUCUUAUUGUGAUGGGUGACCUACCCAGGAAAAGGAAGAGUGGUCUCAUUCUUAUGGGUGACCUACCCAAAAAAAAUAGAAGUGUUGGUCUCAUUGUAAUGGGUGACCUACCCAGAAAAAUGUUGAGGCUCAAAGGCACACUCGAAAGAGGUAGGGUUUAGAAAACGCACUACCCGAGAAGUGAGGGCUCAAACGCGCACUCGAAAAGAGGUAGGGUUAGAAAACGCACUACCAAAAGUGAGGGCUCAAAGCGCACUCGAAAAGAGGUAGGGUUAGAAAACGCACUACCCAAAAAGUGAGGGCUCAAAGCGCACUCGAAAAGAGGUAGGGUUAGAAAACGCACUACCUGAGAAAUGGUGAUGAAAUCCCGAUCUGACAAAUGUUGAAAGCAAUAUUAUGGUUAAUAUGCAUGUAUGUUUUUGUUACCUAUCUUGGAAACAUAGGUCCCCCUUUCGUCGUAAACCUCUUCGCUCUUGUUUCAAGCUUUUCUCAUGAACCGAAAUAUCCUUCAUAUCCUUUUAGUGAAGAGAUCUUGGUUCCUUAUGGGGCCCUUUCUUGCUCCAUUGAGUUUUGCCAAAGGAAAAAUUGGUUUUGUUCAUGAAAACUGAAACUUUUAAUGCAAUUAGCAAUUUUAUAAAAGAUGCUUUUUUAGAAGUUUUUAUUAUGAUAUCCCUUUUGGGCUUGGGUUUACUAUGGACCCUUAUGUGCACUUCGUGCACCUUUUGCCCCCUAGUGUGAUGUGCAACUAUAUGUCAAGUAGAUUUGAUUUGGUUCACCAAUUGAUGGAGUCAUCUUCUUAGUCAUGCCAAAAAAAGUUCUUUUGAACAAAAGAUUUCAAAUGCUAUGAGAUCAUAUGUUAUAUAUAUAUAUAUAAAAGGACUCUUUACAAAGAGAAUUCAUGGCCGAAAUUUAUUUUUAUUGACUGGGAAAUUACGAAAUACAUCAAGCGUAGUAUUUCUUUACAGAGUCGGAAUUCACAGGCCUAGCUAGAUCUUCUCCAUCCAUUCUAGACAGUAACAAAGCUCCUCCUGAGAAUGCUUUCCUCACCACGUACGGCCCCUCGUAGUUAGGUGCCCAUUUACUCUGAUCUUCUCCAGGUAAAGGUAAUAUUUUCUUUAGCACAAGAUCUCCUUCGUGGAAUCCUCGAGGUCGAACCUUCUUGUCAUAUGAUUUAGCCAUCCUUCUUUGGUAGAGUUGAUGAUGACAGAUCGCGGCUAUCCUCUUUUCACUGAUCAGAUUCAACUGUUCAUAUCUAACCUUUGCCCAUUCUAACUCUUCCAGCUCAGAGUCUAACAACACUCUCAAUGAUGGGAUUUCCACUUCUAAAGGCAUCACCGCCUCCAUUCCAUAUACCAACAUGUACGGGGUGGCUCCUGUUGAGGUUCGAACUGCGGUGCGAUAUGCAUGAAGGGCAAAUGGCAACAUCUCAUGCCAAUCCUUAUAGGUGACUACCAUCUUCUGAAUAAUCUUUUUGACAUUUUUAUUAGCAGCUUCUACCGCGCCAUUCAUCUUUGGUCUAUAUGGUGAAGAAUUGGAAUGCUUGAUUUUCCAUUUAGUGCAGAGCUCUAUUAUCAUCUUGCCGUUGAAAUUUUGAGCAUUAUCCGUUAUAAUCUUUUCUGGUGGACCAUACCGACAUAUCAAAUCUCUCUCAAUAAAUUUCUUCACUACUUUUUGCGUCACAUGAGCAAAUGACCCGGCUUCUGCCCAUUUUGUGAAGUAGUCGAUAGCCACGAGAAUAAACCUAUGACCAUUGCUGGCUUUUGGGUUUACCGGUCCAAUCACAUCAAUUCCCCAGAUCGCGAAGGACCAUGGAGAUGUUAAAUUAAACAGAGGAGCCGGAGGAGCAUUGAUUUUGUCACUGUAUACUUGGCACUUAUGACAUUUCCGGACAUAAUCGAUACAAUCCUUCUCUAAUGUCAUCCAAAGUACCCGGCUCUUUGUAUCUUCCUGGCCAUCACAUGUCCACUAGCAUGAGUUGAGCAAAUCCCUUCAUGGACUUCCCGUACUGUGCUUUUUGCCUCAAAUUCAUCCAAACAUCUCAACAAAGUCCCGUCAGAUGAUUUCUUAUACAAAAUCUCCCCAUCAAGAUAAAAAUCCAUUGCCAACCUUCUCAAGGUCUUCUUGUCGAUUUUGGAUGCCCCCAUGGGAUAUGCCUGGUUUUGGAUGAAAUUCUUGAUAUCAUAGUACCACGGGUUUCCAUCCACUUCUCUUUCGACUGAGCAACAAUGAGCGGGGUUAUUUCUGAUAUUGAUGUGUACUGGCUGUACCUUGUGCCCAAAGUCUAUCUUGGCCAUAGAUGCUAGUGUGGCCAAAGCAUCUGCAAACUGGUUCCCUUCCCUUCCCAGAUGGGUGAACUCUAUUUCCUCAAAUUCUUUAGCCAGCUUAGACAGGUAUUCUUGGUAAGGCCUUAACUUCUCUUCUUUGGUUUGCCAUUCUCCUUUUACUUGGCAAAUGAUCAGCAUUGAGUCUCCAUACACAUCUAUCUUUUUGAUGUUCAUCUCUAAUGCAGCCUCUAAACCAAGAAUGCAAGCUUCAUACUCAGCCGUGUUGUUGGUGCACCCGAACUGCAGCUUAACUGAAACCGGAUACUGCUUCUUAUCAGGAGAGAUUAUCACUGCCCCCGCUCCGUUACCACAUACAUUUACAGCACCAUCAAAGUACAUAACCCACCAAUCUGAUUUCUCUUCCUCGAUUGCAAACACAUCUUCAUCGGGAAAGUCAAAGUUUAACGGCUCAUAAUCUUCCAUAGCAUGGUCAGCCAGGUGAUCGGCAAUAACACUCCCUUUCACGGCUUUCCUUGUCAUAUACACUAUGUCAUAUUCAGCCAAAAGAACUUGCCAUCUUGCAAUUCGGCUAGAUAGAUAAGGUUUUCACAAAUGUACCUUAAUGGGUCUAACUUGGAAAUUAACCAUGUAGUGUGAUACAACAUAUACUGACGUAAUCUCUUUGUAGCCCAUGCUAGUGCGCAGCACAGCUUCUCAAUCACAGUAUACCUAGACUCAUAUUCCGUGAACUUCUUGCUUAGGUAAUAAAUGGCCCUUUCCUUCCUUCCGGUUUCAUCAUGUUGCCCAAGCACACAUCCCAUUGCUGUUUCGGUUACUGUUAGGUAUAAAAUCAAUGGCCUUUCUGGUACGGGAGGAACAAGCAGAGGUGGAUUUAGCAAGUACUGCUUGAUUUUCUCAAAAGCUUUAUCACACUCUUCAUUCCAUAUUCCAGGGUUCUUCUUCCUCAACAAACGAAAGAUCGGGUCACAAGUCGCGGUUAAAUGGGAUAUAAACCGAGCGAUGUAAUUCAACCUUCCUAAGAAACCUCUCACCUCCUUCUCAGUCUUGGGGGGUGGCAUAGAUUGAAUAGCUUUUACUUUUUCAGGAUCCACUUCUAUCCCUUUGUCACUCACCACAAAUCCCAACAGCUUACCGGAUUUCACCCCGAAUGAACACUUUGCUGGGUUAAGCCUCAACUUAUAUUUCCUUAAUCUUUCAAAUAAUUUCUUCAAUACUUGGACAUGAUUCUCUCCCUCUUUAGAUUUAGCAACCAUGUCAUCCACGUAUACUUCAAUCUCUUUGUGCAUCAUGUCGUGAAACAAAGUCACCAUAGCCCUUUGGUAAGUGGCCCCAGCAUUCUUUAAACCAAAUGGCAUGACUUUGUAGCAAAAGGUUCCCCAUGGUGUUACAAAGGUUGUCUUCUCCCUAUCCUCUGGCGCCAUUCUUAUCUGAUUGUAGCCUGAAAACCCAUCCAUGAAGGAAUAUGUGGAGCUGCGUGCUGCAUUAUCAACUAACAUAUCUAUGUGUGGUAAAGGGAAAUUAUCUUUAGGGCUAGCCCGGUUUAAUCCCUAAAGUCCACGCAAACUCUGAUUUUACCUUCCUUUUUGGGUACCACCACUAUGUUUGACACCCAUUGUGGAUACUUCACUACUUCCAAAAAACCAGCGUCCCAUUGUUUUUCAAUUUCCGCCUUUACUUUGAUUAAGACCUCCGGAUGAGUUCUCCUUAACUUCUGCUUAAUCGGCUUGCAUCCUUCCAUCAGUGGUAUUCUAUGCACUACAAUGUCCGUAUCCAGACCAGGCAUAUCCUCGUAGGACCAGGCAAAGACAUCCACAUAAUCCUUGAGCAGUGCAAUCAACUCUUCCUUUGCUUCAGGGGUGAUCAAAGUCCCUAUCUUCAGCUCUCGCUUGAUUUCUUCAUUGCCUACAUUUAUGGUUUCAAGUUCCUCUUUAGCGGGCCUCCAAGCCUGUUCGUGUUGUUCUAUUAAUUUUGUGAAUUCCCAUAUGUUUUCCUCCUCCCAUUCCUCAUCUUCUACAGCCACUAUGUAUUCUUUAAAUUUUGGCCAUUCAUUCUCAAUGUAAAGUGCAGGUGUUGUUGUGGAGGAUCCGCUUUCAGAGUUCCUGAAAGCGGAAAGUGAUGUGUAAAUGCAUAGUAAGACAUCAAGAUGAAUUUUGAAAAUGCAUGAUCUCAUUAAAAAUAAAAGAUUGGCUCACAACAAAUAAAAUCCAAUUGACAUCUUGAGCCUCGAUUGUCAAUGAAUAAAAACAAAACAGAAAAAAGGCAAACAACAUAGAUAAAAAUAUAAUCCAACCAUCAUUGUUGAUUACAUUUUAAAAACCAAUGGAGCUUCUUGGGUCUCCCAAUUCUGGAACUUCUCCCCUUCGGCUAGCUUCCGGACAAAAGUCUUGACGGUGACUUCUUCCAAAGUGUGGAUGGUCAAUUGUGGCAGCUCUUCAAUCCUCCUUUCGGACUCGAUUUUCUCAGCAAUGUCCUUGACUUGAUUUUCCUCCAGAGUGUUUAUGUUCAUUGAAGAAAGCUUUUGAAAGAGGUCUCCAUGUCCCCCAUCAGGUUGUAUCACAUAUGCGGCCUUUGGAAAUGAAAUCCUGAUUGGAGGGAUGGCUAAGUUUUCUUCUACAGGCUUCCUUCCUUCCAUCCUAGCCAUUCUCUUCUCCCUUCUUGCACCAGCAGCUCGUUUGUAAUCCUCUUUCUUGGGCUUAUAUCCAAGCCCAAACCUCUGUUCUGCAGCUUUCAAUUUGAUUAUACCCCUCCAUUCAGGCCUUCUUUGCUCCAUAUCAUAUGGGAAAGGAAUCUUGUUUUUCAAAAAGAUUUUAGCUGCCAUUUUAGUGGCUUCAGAGAUUUCUGGCUUCCUCAACACAGUGUUCUCGGGCACCCACUCGGUAUUCACAAUCUCAAAUGCAUGAAGGUUUCCGUCCCUACAAUCUUCUGCUUCAAUGAAUGGAACCGCCACAUUUCUUACCAUCGAUAUAGUCUCCUCAGCCUUAACAGUAACCAGGACACCGUUGGCAAUGUACUUUAAACAUUGAUGUAGCGAAGAGGUGACAGCUCCCGCAGAAUGUAUCCAUGGCCUUCCUAACAGCAUGCUAUAAGAAGGGUGGAUAUCCAUCACUUGAAGGGUUACUAGAAAGACUUGUGGACCCACAGCUAGUUCGACCUCAAUUGACCCUAUCACUUGCCUUGAUGAGCCAUCAUAUGCUCUCGCCGUUAUCACACUGGGCUGCAUAUGUGAGGGAUCUAUCGGCAUUUCAUCCAGCAUGUCGCACGUCAAAAUCCGCGCGACAUCUGCCGGCGAUUUUUAUUAUUUGUGUUUUGCUUGGUUCGUUGGAGUCGCCACCUAGUAUUAUGGUCACUAGGAACCUAAGAUCUGCGAGAGUCUGAGUAAGGGACUGGUUGUGCAAGGGGAAGACGCAUCACCCCCAGUGCACCCUACCUAAGGUAAGCUGCAUUGUUGUUUAAUUGUUUUUCUAGGUCGAAUUUCUAUUCGUUGGUCUUUCUAAGGUUCAAGGCAGAUCUCCCCUCAUGAGGAAGUCUCUACCUUAUUCGGUUAAAUCCUAACCAUUCUAAAGUCUUAAUUUAUUUACACCUUGUAUCUUUAAUAUUUGAGGGUGUACUUUAUCAUGUAAUUUUACACCUUUCAAAUAUUAAAGUCUACAUCUAGAUCCUAGAAAAAAAAGAUUGGAAAAAGGUUUUUGAUAUUUUGGCCAAACCCUAAUGGAUAAUCAUAAACUAGUUAUGAUAUCUAUUUUUUGGAUUUUUCAAAACGUGAGAAAGAUGCAAUUUUUCGAAAAAAACAUGCUUGGAAAAUUUUUAGGACUUGGCCGUAUGCAAUAAAAUAUUUUUUUAAAAAAUAUUUCGAAAAAGCCGGGUAUUUUAAUACCGGACUUAUAUCUUACAAUGUAAGUAUACAACCCAAUAUUAAGCAAACUUGGUGGAAAAAUAUUUGAGAAAACCACAAUUUUUAAAUGAUUUUUUUUUAAUAUUUUUUGAAAAUAAAAAAGAAAAACGAAUACAAAACUAAAAGGCAUGAACAGUGAACAGUGACGGCAUGAACAGUGACGCCGAAGAAGAAGAGGAAGGUGAGCGGACCACCUGGCGUGGCGGCGAUGGCUGGCUGGAGGAGGAGGACCUGAAGCUGGUGGUGGAAACGGCGGUGGAGUUAGCUGGAGCGGCUGCAGCUGGAAGAGGAAAAAAAAAGAAGAAAAUCUGCAGCAGGAAAAGGGAGGAAGGCUGGUUUUUUGGCUUACUUUGGACCCGCUUUUCUCCUCCCUCUAAGCACGAAAUUGGCUCCUAUUUAUAGGGAUGGAAAGAGAGUAAUCUUGUCUUCAACAGGGAAAAAGUCUCAGCCCUUGAUUCGACUUGAGGAAUCCAAGCCGUUGGUUCAAAGUGUGCACCUCGAACUGCAAAAAUUGGCAAUCCAAGGCUGCAGACUGCCCGAGGGUGCCACUUUGGGCCAAUAAACGGAGCCGUUUUCGAGUUGUUCGACCCGACCGGACCACUCUACGAGAUAGAGGGAUUGCAGGUGGACAUGGUGGUGCACGCUUUGUCGGAUUUGGGGAACAAACGAGGUAGAAAAUUCGCCUGGAAGUCUGCCACUCGGGCAGCUUUGCGGGGAAGAAGGUGAACAGUAACCAGCCGAUUUGUUUUUUUUUUUUUUUUUUUUCGUUUUUCAAUUUAGUCCGCGUUCUUUCAAAUUAGUUCAAUGGAACCCCUAAUUGACCAUAAACCUUUGAUUUAAUGCAAUUUUGGCCCCUAAUUUCAAUCAAUUCACUUGGUAAAAAUUAAAUUUGGUCUCUUAAAAUUCCAAUCUUCUUAAUUAAGCCUAAAUCAGGCUCCCAAAUUUAAUUUUUCACCAAUUAAGCCCCAAAUAAAAUUAAUUUGACCCACUUAAAGUAUAAUUAAGUCCUUGCACUUAAUUAAAUCCUUCAAUUAGACCUAAAUUAAUUCUUAAACAUAAUUAAAAUUUAAUUUGGCCCAUGAUUAAAUCAAAUUGGCCCAUUAAAAAUUUAAUUAUGUCAUUGGACUUAAUUUUUAUGCAAAUUCGUCCAAUAAUCGUUUAAUUUUACCUUCGAAUUUGCAUUUUUAUAUUCUUGGGCAUAAUAGGGUACAAUUAGGCCUUGAAAUUCCUCUAAAAAUUGCAGCUUUAUUUCCCAGUCUGCUCUCUCCACGUUGCCAGCCUUUAUUUUAUUUUUUGAUUUUUAUUUUGAAGAAAGAAAUUGAUUUUUAGGGAAUAACCCAGAAUUGGGUUAUGACAGUUGCCCCCCUCUUUACAAUGCUUACGGUAGAAGGUCUCUUAAGAGACUUUAGAUAGUAAGCGUUGUAAAGAAGAAAAAAGGAAGAUUUUUUUUUUUUUUUUUUUAAAUGGUCGAAUUGUCAUGGGUGACCUACCCGGGUGAAAAACACGAAGAUGUUUUAAAGAGGUGAAAAAUACAGAGAUUUUUCAAAGAGGUGAAAAAUACCGAGAUUUUUCAAAGUGGUUUUGUUGUAAUGGGCAACCGGCCCAAGAUGGAAAACGAAAAGAGUUUUCAAGGUGGUGAAAAAUACAAAGAUUUUUCAAAGUGGUUUUGUUGUAAUUGGCAACCGGCCCAGAUGAAAGGUUUUGAAAAAUACAAAGAUUUUUUCAAAGAGGUGAAAAAUGCAGAGAUUUUUCAAAGUGGUGAGAAAUGCGAAGAUUUCUCAAAAAUGAUCUUGUUGUGAUGGGCGACUUGCCCAGAUGGAAAGUGAUGAAAAAUGCAAAGAUUUUUCAAAGUGGUGAGAAAUACAAAGAUUUCUCAAAGUGGUGAAAAAUGCAGAGAUUUUUCAAAGUGGUUUUGUUGUAAUGGGCAACUGGCCCGAGAUGAAAGGUUUUGAAAAAUACAAAGAUUUUUUUCAAAGAGGCGAAAAAUGCAGAGAUUUUUCAAAGUGGUGAGAAAUGCAGAGAUUUCUCAAAAAUGGUGAAAAAUUUUGGAGGUGGUGAGAAAUGCAAAGAUUUCUCAAAAUGGUUUUAUUGUUAUGGGCAACCGGCCCGAGUGAAAAAGUUUGAAAGUGGGGAGAAAUGCAAGGAUUUCUUAAAAUGGUGAAAAAUACAUAGAUUUUUCAAAGUGGUGAAAAAUACAAUGAUUUUUUAAAAGUGGUUUUGUUGUAAUGGGCAACCGGCCCAAGAUGGAAAUGUUUUGAAAAAUACAAAGAUUUUUUCAAAGAGGCGAAAAAUGCAGAGAUUUUUCAAAGUGGUGAGAAAUGCGAAGAUUUCUCAAAAUUGUGAAAAAGUUUAGAGGUGGUGAGAAAUGCAAAGAUUUCUCAAAAUGGUUUUAUUGUUAUGGGCAACCGGCCCAAAUGGAAAAAAGUUUGAAAGUGGGGAGAAAUGCAAUGAUUUCUCAAAAAUGGUUUCAUUGUUAUGGGCAACCGGCCCAAAUGGAAAAGGUUUGAAGGUGGGGAGAAAUGCAAUGAUUUCUCAAAAAUGGUUUUAUUGUUAUGGGCAACCGGCCCAAAUGGAAAAAGUUUGAAGGUGGGGAGAAAUGCAAGGAUUUCUCAAAAAUGGUUUAUUGUUAUGGGCAACCGGCCCAAAUGGAAGAUGAAAAGAGUUUAGAAAAAAGUCUGAUUAUAAUGGGUGACCUGCCCGGGAGAAAAGGCAAAAUGUCUGAAAUGGACGACAUGAUAGGACUCGAUGGGGAACGAGGGCUGAAGAGCGUACUCGAAAGGAGAUAGGGUUCGAAAAACACACUAUCUAAGAGGUGAGUGCUCCAAGGCGCACUCUAAAGAAGGCAAAUAGGGCUAGAAAGCACACUACACAAGAGGUGAGGGCUCGAAGGAGCUCUCAAAAGGAGGCAAGGUUGGAAAAUGCACUACCUAAGGGGUAAGGGUUCAAAGGAGCAUUCAAAAGGAGGUAGGGUUGGAAAACUCACUACCUAAAGUGGUGAGGGCUCGAAGGAGCAUACGAAAGGAGGUAAGGUUAGGAAACGCACUACCUAAAGUGGUUGAAGGCUCUAAAACGCACUCAAAAGGGGAGGUAGGGUCAGAAAACACACUACCUAAAGGGGUUGUUAGCUCGAAGGCGCUCUAAAAAAGAGGCAGGGUUGGAAAACGCACUACCUAAAGGGUUGAUGGCCCUAAGGCGCAUACGAAAGGAGGUAAGGUUAGGAAACGCACUACCUAAAGUGGUGAGGGUUCAAAGGAGCAUUCGAAAGGAGGUAAGGUUGGAAAACGCACUACCUAAAGUGGUGAGGGCUCAAAGGAGCAUCCGAAAGGAGGUAAGGUUGGAAAACGCACUACCUAAAGUGGUUGAUGGCCCUAAGGCGCACUUAAAAGGAGAUAGGGUUGGAAAACGCACUACCUAAGAUGUGAGGGCUCCAAGGAGCAACCAAAAGGAGGUAGAGUUAGAAAACACACUACCUAAGGUGGUUAAUGGCCCUAAGGCGCACUUAAAAUGAGGCAAGGUUAGAAAACACACUACCUAAGGUGGUUGAUGGCCCUAAGGCGCACUUAAAAGGAGGUAGGGUUGGAAAACACACUACCUAAGAGGUGAGGGCUCGAAGGAGCUCUCAAAAAGAGGCAGGGUUGGAAAACACACUACCUAAAAGGGUUAGGGCUCGAAGGCACACUAAAAAAGAGGUAGGGUUAGAAAACACACUACCUAAGGGGUGAGGGUUAAAAGACGCUCUCAGAAGGAGGUAGGGUUGAAAAACACACUACCUAAAAGGUUAGGGCUCGAAGGCACACUAAAAAAGAGGUAUGGUGUUAGAAAACACACUACCUAAGGGGUGAGUGCUCCAAGGGGCACUUAAAAAGAGGCAGGGUUGGAAAACACAUUACCUAAGAGGGUUAGGGCUCAAAGGCACACUAAAAAAAGAGAUGAUGGUGAGACACCGAUCUGUCAAGGAUGAAAGUAAUGCAUCAUGAUCAAUAUGCAUGUAUACUUACCUGAGAAGUAUAGGUCCACUUUUCCUCAUAGAGUUCUCCUUUUCUCAAAAGUUUGAGUCUCUGAUGGUACGCUUUGAUGGCUUUUGUCCCCCUUGCUUACUCGAGAAAUAUCUUACGAUCUUGUCCUCUAGGAAAGACUUGAUGCCAUCAUUUCUUUGUUCUCCGCCCCUUUUAUCUCAAAGGCUGUAAGUUUUGCCCAAUAGUUUCUUAGACAGGGAAUCAUGGAGCCAGCCCUACCAGAUGUUUUUUUGAUUUCCCCCUAGCUUGAUCAUGCCCCCAAGUAUUCAAUUCAGGUUUGGGGAUGAGGCUAUAUGAAGGAAGGUUUGGUUUUUGACAAGGAGUUGUUUUCAUGUAGAAUUUUUGGAAUUUCAAAGUUAUUCCGAACACAGAAAUCAUUUUGACCUUGAUUCAAAGCAAACUCAUUCUGAAGAAAUUCAAAUGAUUCCUAUGGAGAGGUUUUCAAAAGUGAUGAAAACUUUUUGUUUCGAUUUUGGUGAAAAAAUAUGAAGUGACAUUUGGUUGGUCACAAAAAGUUGAAAUUUCAAUUUGUGGGUUAUUGAGAACCAUUGGCGAAAAUAUGAUGAACAUGAAGUGACAUCUGGUUGGUCACAAAAGGUUUAAAUUUCAAUUUGAGGGUUAUUGAGAACCGUUUUCAAAGCAGUCAUUUUAUUUGCAUGAAUAAUGAUUUUAUUUUGCAUGAGAAAGCACUGCCUACCGAUCCAGAUUGCUUGCCUUUGAUCAGAAAGGGCUUGAUUAGGCACGUAAUGUAGGCUUGGGCUUUUGGCUAUGAAGAAAUGAUAUUUGUAGGCUCAAAAGGUGUUUGAGGGACUUUAAGACUAAGGAUCACUAGUGCUUAUAUCCCAAACUCUUUUGUUCAUACAUUUAUGGACCUUGGAAUUGAUUUGUAAAAUGGUCCACGGUGCCCCCCAAUGUUGGGCUUGGGCUCUUUCUCUUUGUUUUUGUUUUCUUCAUUUGAUUUUGAGCAUCAUUGCAUUGGCCUUGUUUUUUUUGCUCAAAAUUUUUGGAUCCUUUGGAUUUUUCUUCAUGCCCCCUAGCUUUAUAUGGGCACCUUUGAUGAUUGAGAAUUUUCUUUUAUGCCCCCCAGUAUUGUUUGGGCAUUUCAUCGUUGAAGACUUUUUCAUGCCCCCAAGAGUUAUUGGGCACUUUCAAUCAUUAUGGAUUUUUUUUUGCACUUGCCCCCCAGUGUAGGGUGUGAUCCUAGCCAAGGUUAUUUUUCAAGAAAAAUUUAUUAGGCUCAAAAGGGGACUGCAAAUGAUAUAUUUCAGCCUUGUGAAAGGAUUAUCAAAGAUGGCCUUUCUUCAUCUCAAAUGCAUGCAUUUAGGAUCGGUAAGCCUUGCUUUCAUGCGAGUAUGCAAAGUGAUUAUUCAUGCAAUCAAAACUCAGCUUUUGGAGUCACUUCAUGGUGUUUUUUUUUUGGUUUUCUAGGUGUAUGGUUACCUCUCUAAGGAAUCACCUGAAUUUCCAGAACUCGUAUAUUUCGGACAAACAUCAACAUGAUUUCUGUUUUUGUACUAAACUUUGAAUUCCCAAAAAUCCUUAUGAAAACAUGCAUAGUUUUGAAAAGAAAGGGAGAAACACGCCCAAAGAUUCUUGACGCAAUGGUUUCAUGCUUGAAGGUUAUGCUCAAUGUGUUAUAUUGCAUGAACAACAAAAAUGAAGGCAUGUGAUGAACACAGGAAAACACAAGAAAGGCUCAAUGGACAUGGAAAGUCUUGUGGAAUUUUGAGCCAAAUUGCCAACAAAAACUGGAGUAGGUUGAAAUAAAAAAUCAAGUUUUUGGAGGCAUGAUCAAACAGAGGUAGUUAUUUUGGCAGAGCAAGAACAGGCUCCAUUCUGCCAUGGUGAUGCAAUUCCCCUUCAGAUUAUAUUGAGGCUCUUGAUCAUGUGGGCCCCUAAUUUCUUCGGGUUGAGUCUUGGUUAGGGCUUGAACAAAAGUGAUAGGUCAAUUGGAAGGACCUUCACCAGAGGCAUUUCUAAGUGUAUGCUCGAGUAAGCUAGUGAGGCGAGCCACGCUUGUUUUCAGAGACUCUAACUCUUCUUGGAAAUGGGCAUCAUGGUGAGCAUGCUCUUCACCUUCCAUGUUUCUUUGCUUGGAGUCGAGUGUUGUAGACUCUUUGGGGACCUAUAUUUCAACCUGGCGCAUGUAUGUAUGUCAUUUACAAUGGAUGGAUGUAUGUGUGUGGAUGCAAAUGUAUGCACAUUUGGUAUGAAUGGAAAAAAACUCAUGCAAAAUGAAUAACAAGAGAGUUCAUGCUCUAAAGGAAGGUUCUAGGUCAUUACAUGAUGGGUAGGCAUUCUACCUGGUCUUGAAAAGGUCUAUGAACUGCCCAGUGACCACCUCACGUGAAGGCAGUGUAGGGGUUUACAAGGAAUGGUUGGGGCACAAUGUGACCGCCAUUACCAAGUAAACACUAAGCUCAUAGUUGGAUGUUUCACGAAUCUGAACCCCGACUGAAAGUCAUGAGGCAGACCGCUACUCCCCACCUAACCUAGAAUAGGGUUUAUUCGCAAAAUUAAAAUGCAUGCUAAAGCAAUAAAAAUGCGAGCUAAAAUUAAAGACCAAUAAAAGGAAAACAAUCAAACAAUCAAUGCUUAGUCCGACCACACAUGGUUGUCCCCAGUGGAGUCGCCAUUCUGUCGCACGUCAAAAUCCGCGCGACAUCGACCGGCGAUUUUUAUUAUUUGUGUUUUGCUUGGUUCGUUGGAGUCGCCACCUAGUAUUAUGGUCACUAGGAACCUAAGAUCUGCGAGAGUCUGAGUAAGGGACUGGUUGUGCAAGGGGAAGACGCAUCACCCCCAGUGCACCCUACCUAAGGUAAGCUGCAUUGUUGUUUGAUUGUUUUUCUAGGUCGAAUUUCUAUUCGUUGGUCUUUCUAAGGUUUCAAGGCAGAUCUCCCCUCAUGAGGAAGUCUCUACCUUAUUCGGUUAAAUCCUAACCAUUCUAAAGUCUUAAUUUAUUUACACCUUGUAUCUUUAAUAUUUGAGGGUGUACUUUAUCAUGUAAUUUUACACCUUUCAAAUAUUAAAGUCUACAUCUAGAUCCUAAAAAAAAAAGAUUGGGAAAAAGGUUUUGAUAUUUUGGCCAAACUAAUGGAUAUCAUAAACUAGUUAUGAUAUCUAUUGUUUUGGAUUUUUUCAAAACGUGAGAAAGAGCAAUUUUUCGAAAAAAACUGCUUGGAAAUUUUUAGGACUUGGCCGUAUGCAAUAAAAUAUUUUUUUAAAAAAUAUUUCGAAAAAGCCGGGUAUUUUAAUACCGGACUUAUAUCUUACAAUGUAAGUAUACAACCAAUAUUAAGCAAACUUGGUGGAAAAAUAUUUGAGAAAACCACAAUUUUUAAAUGAUUUUUUUUAAUAUUUUUUGAAAAUAAAAAAGAAAAACGAAUAAAAAACUAAAAGGCAUGAACAGUGAACAGUGACGGCAUGAACAGUGACGCCGAAGAAGAAGAGGAAGGUGAGCGGACCACCUGGCGUGGCGGCGAUGGCUGGCUGGAGGAGGAGGACCUGAAGCUGGUGGUGGAAACGGCGGUGGAGUUAGCUGGAGCGGCUGCAGCUGGAAGAGGAAAAAAAAGAAAGAAAAUCUGCAGCAGGAAAAGGGAGGAAGGCUGGUUUUUUGGCUUACUUUGGACCCGCUUUUCUCCUCCCUCUAAGCACGAAAUUGGCUCCUAUUUAUAGGGAUGGAAAGAGGGUAAUCUUGUCUUCAACAGGGAAAAAGUCUCAGCCCUUGAUUCGACUUGAGGAAUCCAAGCCGUUGGUUCAAAGUGUGCACCUCGAACUGCAAAAAUUGGCAAUCCAAGGCUGCAGACUGCCCGAGGGUGCCACUUUGGGCCAAUAAACGGAGCCGUUUUCGAGUUGUUCGACCCGACCGGACCACUCUACGAGAUAGAGGGAUUGCAGGUGGACAUGGUGGUGCACGCUUUGUCGGAUUUGGGAACAAACGAGGUAGAAAAUUCGCCUGGAAGUCUGCCACUCGGGCAGCUUUGCGGGGAAGAAGGUGAACAGUAACCAGAUUUGUUUUUUUUUUUUUUUUUUUUCGUUUUUCAAUUUAGUCCGCGUUCUUUCAAAUUAGUUCAAUGGAACCCCUAAUUGACCAUAAACCUUUGAUUUAAUGCAAUUUUGGCCCCUAAUUUCAAUCAAUUCACUUGGUAAAAAUUAAAUUUGGUCUCUUAAAAUUCCAAUCUUCUUAAUUAAGCCUAAAUCAGGCUCCCAAAUUUAAUUUUUCACCAAUUAAGCCCCAAAUAAAAUUAAUUUGACCCACUUAAAGUAUAAUUAAGUCCUUGCACUUAAUUAAAUCCUUCAAUUAGACCUAAAUUAAUUCUUAAACAUAAUUAAAAUUUAAUUUGGCCCAUGAUUAAAUCAAAUUGGCCCAUUAAAAAUUUAAUUAUGUCAUUGGACUUAAUUUUUAUGCAAAUUCGUCCAAUAAUCGUUUAAUUUUACCUUCGAAUUUGCAUUUUUCUAUUCUUGGGCAUAAUAGGGUACAAUUAGGCCUUGAAAUUCCUCUAAAAAUUGCAGCUUUAUUUCCCAGUCUGCUCUCUCCACGUUGCCAGCCUUUAUUUUAUUUUUUGAUUUUUAUUUUGAAGAAAGAAAUUGAUUUUUAGGGAAUAACCCAGAAUUGGGUUAUGACACAGCAUAUGCCUUGGUAACACAUUAAGGGCCGAGCCGUUAUCAAUGAGAACCUUGCCGACGAGACAAUCCUUGCAUCGGACCGUGACAUACAAGGGCUUGUUAUGUCCAGUUCCUUCAGCAUCAAGUUCAUCUUCCGUGAAAUACAAGUAAUUGGCAGCAUGGAUCCUCCCUACUAGAUGCUCCAUAGUCUUUUGCUCAAUAUCUUGGGGCACAUAGGCCUCAUUCAGUACUUUUUGCAAAGCAUUACGAUGUGGCUCGGAGCUGAGUAUUAAUGACAUGAUGGAGAUCUUAGCAGGGGUUUUCUUCAACUGAUCCACUAUACUGUACUCACUAUGCUUCAUCAAUUUCAGGAACUCAUUUGUUUCUUCCUCAGUCACAGGUUUAUUCACCUCAAACUCUUUAUCGAGGUCCAGCACCUCCUUGCCUUUAGCCUUUCUUUGUCUUUCUAGUUCUUCAGGUGUGAAACAACGACCACUCCGAGUUAGCCCACUUAUCUCCGUUCGGAACAGCGGCAAAGGAGCUUCAAUAUUCGAGGUAUAACCAUAAUCUCCAGGCAUCGCUCCAUAGUUUACUUUGCUUGCAUAUGAGGGCCUAGUUAAUACCAGUUUUGAGCGACCAUUAGCUGUUGAUUGGAUUCUACAUUUCUCUAUCAUCUCUACCUCUUCAUUGUCACUUACGUCCUCAAUCCUCAACUCUCCUAGAGUUAGCAUUCUUGCAACUUUUUGAUGAAAUUCAAUGCAUUCAUCAAUGUGAUGCCCUUCCUUUUUAUGGAAAGGGCAAAAGUUACUUUCCCCUGUGCAGUACUCAGUCGUUUCUUCCAAAUGUCCAGACUGUACCAACAUCAAGUAUAGCUUGGCCAUGGUCACUUUCAACACCCUCUUUUUGCUACCAAUCUCCAUGGUAUUCACUCCUCCCCUACCAUCAACAUGUUUAGGUAAAGGGUUUGAAUUCUGAUUAGGCGAAUCCUCAAAAGUGACCCAUCCCACUUUGAUCAGUUGCAACACCUUUCUUUUAAAAGCAAAGCAAGACUCAAUGCUAUGGCCUGCGUGACCAGCAUGGUAUUCACAAGUUACCUCGGGGUUGUACCAGGCAGGGAAAGGUGGUUGCAUAGGUGGUAUGGGUAGGGGAGCUAUCUGCCCAAUACUCAACAGCUUGGCAUACAACUCUUUUAAGGUUAUUGGUAAAGGUAGUUGUUCUUCUGAUGGUUGCUUAUCCUUUCUUUGGUAAUUGUUGGUUAUUUGCUGGGAAUUUGUUUGGAGUGGGGGGUUUGGAAAAGUUAAUACUAGUGACUCGGGGGUAGGUAUUUGAUAGUUUUUUCUUCUCCUUUCUAGGUUGUUCACCUCAAUUUCUUUCUUCCUUCCAAUGAAACCUCUCUUCUCUAGAGGUUCUGCAAUUCUCCCACUUCGGAUCCCUUGUUCAAUCCUCUCGGCGAUCCGCACGACAUCAUAGAAAUGUUGUGCUGAACUACCCAUAAGGUGUUCAUAGUAUGGAGCCCUGAAAGUAUUGGCAAACAAAGUCACCAUUUCUGUCUCUAUCAGCGGAGGUUGCACAUUGAUAGCUUGGUCUCGCCACCUUUGAGCAUAAGCCCUCACGGACUCUUGACUUCCUUUCUCCAUGCUAAUCAGACUGGUCCUAUCAGGAGCAAUCUCUAGAUUAAACUUGUAUUGCUUUAAGAAAGCGUCCGCCAAGUCUGUCCACUUCCUGAUCCUAAUAUUGUCUAACCUCAUAUACCAACUGAGGGCUGAUCCGGUCAGGCUAUCCUGGAAGAAGUAAAUUAACAUUUUUCGUCGUGGAUAACCUCUGCCAUUUUGUUAUAGUAGGAGCGGAGAUGGGUCUUCGGGCAUUCCAUCCCAGUAUACUUAACAAACUCCGGCACUCUGAACUUCUUUGGAAUGACAAUAUUAGGUACUAAACAUACCUCAGCGGCCCUAAUUGGGUCAAACAAAUCAUUUCCUUCAAUUGCCCUUAGCCUCUCUUCUAGGGCAGUCCACUUAUCAUCUCCUUCAUGAUUAGAGAAUUUAAAGUCAUGUGGAUCUUCGUUUGUUAAAUCCAUUGUAAUAGGGAUUUGGAUGGGCCGAGCAGGACUCUGCUUAGUUGGUGUAUUUGCCCCUAUGUUUAUAGGUGCGACAGGAAUUUGAGCUGCUGCUGGUGCUUCAUUAGGUUGAGUAGAUGUUCCCUCUCCAUCUCUGGCUCUUAAUAAUUGCUCUAACAUACUUGUUAAGUGCGCCACAUCAUUCCGAACUCCUUCGAGUUCUCUUUGGUACUGAGAUUCUGGUUGUGACCUUCCUUCGUUUUCCAUUCUUGCUCUUUGUCGAGUGUUGUGGAUUCUAGGAGGGGGACCUAUGUUUCUUAAUCUGCAGAUGCAUGCAUAGAUGUAUGAGAAAAUGUAUGAUUGUGAUGGAUGCAUGAUCGAAAAAUGCAUGCUUUAUUGGGUAUGGAUGCAUCCUUUUUGUGAACGAAUAACAACCAUCACAUUAUAAGCCUUCUCUUGUCACAUUGCUUUGAUAGGAGUUCUGCCUUUCGAGUCGUUUGCUUGAAUCAUGUUCACCAAGAGACAGAUUUUUGCAUAAGAAGAUGGGUCAACGCCCUUUUCAUUAAUGCUUGGAUAAAAAUACAUUUAGAAAUAAAAGAAAUACAACAUGCUAAUCCCUUUCCUCCCUAAACUCUUUGCCAAAGGUAAGAAAGCAAAACCGCGGUUCUCAAUCUUCCCUAGAAAGGCAUCGGUUUCAGCUAGGCUUCGGCGAUAGCGAAUGAUGUCUCCCCCACAUUCCGCGAAUUGAUUCUGACCAUUCGAGCAUGUGCAGCAGCUUCGUCCAUUUGCUCAUCUGUUUUGGUCAUUUUUUCUAUGAGCAACAUGUUGGUUCUGUUUAAAGCAGUGUUGUUGGCGUCGAUUUGAUCUUUGUGCUUCUCCAUUGCUACUAGCUUUUCAUCUAAAUACUUCACUUUUCGUUCUUUGUCAAGCUUUAUCCUCAUGACUUUUAUCUCAUUCUUCUUGACUGCUAACUCUGCUUUAACAUCCUCGAAUCCUCCCUUUUCGCUUUCCAACUCCAUAUAUUUCUUAUUCAAAUCCUCAUACUUCCUAAUCCUAUCCAUCAGCUCGAAUUGCACUUGCCAAAUUUUUCUUGGUAAUAUUCUGCACUUUCUUGGCAAUCGCUAAAGUCCAUCUCCAUUGCUUGAAGUUCAGAGCAACUUUGCAUCCAAUCCAAACUCAUCCCUUUAAGCUCCUUCUCACUUCCUUCCUUAGCAAUCUUCUCCUCAACCAACUUUAACUCCAGCUUUGUUAUUUUCUCAUCUCUAGACUGUAUUUGCUCAUCUAGAAAUGUUCUCAUUUUAUCCUGUUCUAGCAUCAUUUCUUCCAACAUUGCUUUGUCUUUUCUGCUCUUGCUCAAUUCUAUUCGUAGUUUCCACUUGCCUUCUCAAGUCUUCUUCAUUACUAACUCUCUUUCUCUUGAUAGGCUCCUCUUCAGUUGGAGAAGAUUUGACUUCUACACAAGGCAUGGCUGAAGCAGCUGAAUCAUCUUCAAUGUUCACCCUUUUUCUCUUAAUAGGCUCCGCUACAUCUUGAGGAGAUUUAGCUUCUACGCGAGGGUGGCUGAAGUGCUGAGUCUCUCCAUUUUACAUAUCCUUCGCUCACACUUGGAUCUCUUAACCCUUCUAUCUCCACCAACACUAGAUGCUUCCAAUCUUGCUUGAUGAUCUCCAAAACCUCUUCUGCCAUGGGAUCUUUGAACAAACCAGAGAAUUGAGCAAUUCCCAUAGUCCUGGGAACGAACUGCAUGCCCCCAAGUUGUCUUACCACUAAGGCAGGAGCAUAACUCACAUAACCCGUGAUCCCCACCAAUGGUACCCAACGCCUUUGUCCACAACUCAUUAGGACCUUCACUGACGUUACCCAUGGGGCCCUCCACUUAAACUCGCUAUUAGGUAAACCUUCUAAUUUAUCAACCCAACCCUGGUUGUCUAGAUCUCCCCAUUCUUCUUCUUCUACUAACUUGAGGGGUUUUUGGGUGAACCACCAAAAAUUAUUGAAGACAGGUUUCUUUGUCUCGAUAUGGCUAACCAUCCAAAUAUACAACAGUUGCGUGCAGCAUCUCAUUGCUCCUUUUCCGGCCCUCCUACAAUGGUUAAGUGUCAAAAUUGUUUCGGCUAAAAUAGCAGCCACUGGAUUGAUUCGUGUAUUCUCAUACUCCACAUAAGCAGCAGCGGCCUCCAAACUCACUAAACCAAUCUGACUUGGGAACAACACAAGGCCAAAUAUACCUAGGGCAAUCAAUCUCUCUUUUUCUACUCCUGACUUCUUUUCCAAUUCUAACAUCCUCCAUUUCAAACCGGUACCAUUCUUUUGAAACUUUUCCAAGUUGGAGAUUCUGAGCAGCUUUGACAGUUCAGGGAUGAUCUUGUCGGAUCUUAAAGGAGAAUAAAUCCGAUACAGGUCGUUGGGAAACUCGGUCAACAAUCCAUAUUCCUCAACCGUGGGGCACAAGUCUAUGCUUCCAAAGGAAAAACAUCGGUAGUCUGGAUCCCAAAAAUGAACUAAAGCUCGCACAGCUGGGCUUAAAACUUCUACCUUUGCAAUUUCCAUCAAACGUCCGUAUUUCCUAAAAAAUGCAUCUUUAUCCACAUUCUGAAAAUGAGUCGUUAACUUGUUCACCUCAUUCAAUACGCAAUUCAGGUUCUUGAUUGGUGACAUCUUCUUAGCAUCGCUUCUAAGGCAGUCUCCUUCAGUCAAUUGUGACAGUUCAGAAUUUUUUCCAUAUUCUAAGAUGGAAGAUUUAGUGAUGAUGGCCAUUUCGUUCACAAGUCCUGCAAUUCAAAAUGCAUUGGGGUUUAGACUUUGUUUGGAUGCAAAAGAUAUGUUGGAACAUACACCCUAAGGAUAGGUUCUAAUUUCUCUACGUGAGACAUAGGGUAGGUUUACUAUUGGGUCUCUAAAAGAGGGUCUCUUGCUGUUCCAGUGAUCAGCCUUCGUAAAGGCGAUAUGGAGGUCUAGCAGAUAGUGGGAUGGUACGUGUACCAAUCACAAUCAGUCUAAACACUCAGCAAAGAGUUGGGGUUUACACAAACUUAAACCUUGACUCAAGUCAUAAGGCAAGCUGCUAGUCCCCCACUUAAACUUAAAGUUACAUGUGUGUGCACUCCAAAACAUAAUAACAAUAAUAAAGUGAUGCAUGACUAUGCCAUGUAUGAUAGAAUGUAAAGAUAUAUGCUAAAGCUUUUAAACAAAGCAUCAUAAGAAAACAAAAACCAAUAACACAUAACAUAAACAAACAAACAAAUCAAGCUUAGUCCAAGGGUCCCCAGUGGAGUCGCCAUCCUGUCGCACCCCAAAAAAAAUAAAAAAUUUGGCGUUCGACUGGCGACUUUCGUUUUGUUUUUUUGCUGAUUUGGUUCUUUGGAGUCGCCACCUAGUAUUUUGGUCACUAGGAACCCUAACUGGUCUUUCAGAGAUUCUAAGGCAAGGGACUGGUUGCGUAAAGGGAAGGUAUUAGCACCCCUAGUACGCCCUACCUAAGGUAAGCUGCUUGGUGUUUGGUUUGCUCUAUAAUGCUAUGGUGUUGGUAUUUUCUAGGCUCGUCAAUUGAUUUUGGAUAGAAAUCUAAGGAGAUUCCAUGUGCUUUGAAAGCUCAUUUUUCCCUUAGUAUUUCAAAAGUUUGCGACUCAUAAAUCGUGGAGAAAAAAAAUUAAAUUUUGAAAUGUCCUCGAUUAUAAUCAAGGCUUCUUUCAAGAAUGUGUGCGGAUUUAUUACUCCCAAUAAUAUUUUGGAUAUUCAUCCUUUUAAGGAUUUCUUUAUCCAAACAUUAGCGGUAAAUAAUAAAUAAAUUCCUCCCAAAAUAAGAUUUUUAUAGUUUUUGAAUAUUGGCCAAUACCCUUUGGAAUUUUACAAACACGUUGUAAAAUCCAGAAAUGCAAGAAAAUAAUUUGUGUUUAAGAAAUCUAUGCGAAAACACACUUUCGAAGCUUCCAAUAUAUUUUUUUUAAAAAGAAAUUCAAAACAUGUUAGAGUAUUGGCCGUAUGCAACACGCAAGAAAAAUUUUUUUUUUUAAAUAUUUUUUUUUUGACGAAAACGGUAUUUUAAUACUGAAUUUGUAUCUCCACAUAAAAAUACAAACAAUUAAAUCAUAAAAAAAUGUGCGGAAAAAUCCACAAUAUUUUUUAGAAUUUUUGAAAGCAAAAGAAUUUUUAUCUUUGAAAAUCUGGAUGUCUUGACGAAAACCGGGUAUUUUAAACACUGAAUUUGUAUCUCCACAGUAUUACAAACCAAUGUAUAAAAAAUAUAUAUAUGAAAAGAAAACAAUUUUUUUUUUGAUUUUUUUUUUAUUUUUUAAAAUAUAUAUAAUAUACAUGCAUAAAUAAUAUAAUAAUAUAAUAUAAUAUAAUUAAUAAAUAUAUUAAUAUUAAGGGGCUGGGCCGGCCAACUAAACUGGGCCGGACCAGCCUUAAAAGUCGUUGGGAACUCGGCCCAAAAGGGAUUGGGCCGAUCUCGGCCCAAGAACUAAUUAACCUCGGUCUGGGCCGGACCCAGCCCAGACCGCCGAUUGGGCCAGAAUCCCUCUGGCCCGUCCCGCAUAGUUUUGGGCCAGACACCAUCUGGCCUAGAGAAGGGAAAAAAAAAAAGAGCACGGGGGGGAAUUAUUUUCCCCCCCCCGCCUCCUGCAUGCAGAACGACUCUGCAUGCAGGAGGCAAAACUGAUGCAGGUUUCGAAAAAAAAUACAGGGGGGAAAGAAAGCGUACCUGGGGCGGCGGAGACGGUGGCUUGCUGGCGGUGGCAGCGUCCUAGCUCACGGACAGCGACUCCUCACGGUGAUUUCCAAACAAUCCGGCGACGCCCUCUCGGUUCGUUUUCUUCGUUUUGUUUUCUAAAUUCCCUCCCAGCAUUAAACUUUCACUCUUCUCUUGCUUUUUUUGGGGUUUUCGGUGGCUCUCUCUCCUCGGUUGGGUGUUUCUCUCUCUUCCUCUCUCUCUUCGUUUUUUGGUUCUCUUCGGGUUCCUCUCCUUUUUCUUUUUCUUUUUUCAUCCCUGUUUCUCUUAUUAUGUUCUCUAUUUAUAGAGCCAGGGGGCGUGGCUUCACCGUGGAGCCAAGGAGCGGGUCGAGGAGCGGGUCGAGGAGCGGCUGUUCAGGCGGACCUCCCUCGGUUUCGGCAGUGCGGCGGGUGGUCAACCAGUGUCUUCUGUCGGUGACCCACCGGCGUGGGGCCUUGGUUGGUCGAGGGACCUACAAAAAAAUGUAAACAAUGCAAACUUUUCCUUCUUCCCCGCUGUAUGUUCGGGGGAAGAAGAAAGGUGAACAGUGUCGUUCAAAACGGCACCGUUCGGUCUUCUCUUUUUUUUUUUUUAUGUAUGAAACGGCGUCGUUUUGGAGAAAACGCGCCGUUUCAUUUAAAAAAAAGGCGCCAGAACAUUUGUUUUUGAAUCAGUCAUUAAUCAUCUUUGUUCAAUUCAAUUUCGUCCCUGCCAAUUUCGGUCCGUCCCCAUAGUUGGCCGCGUUUUUCACUUUGGUCCUUGGCCUCUGAUUUAUGCAAUUUAGCCCUCAAUUGAUCAAUAAACUUCUAAUUUCUUCAAUUAAGCCCCCUGAAUCAAUUCCAAACAGCCCCCUCUAUCUUUGCGCCUUUUUCAAAUUGGUCCCUGGUUUCGAAUUUUCACAAUUAAGUCCCUAAUUGGCCAUUAAACGUCAAUAUUUAUGCAAUUAAGCCCCUGAUUUGACCCAAUAAAUUCCUAAAAAUUAUAAUAUGGCCCCAGAACUUUAAUUUCUUCUAAUUAAAACCCAAAUUGACUUAAAAAUCAAUUUUUCUUGCAAUCAAAUCCCCUAUAAAUUCAAAUAAAAAUCCAAUUAAGUCCAUAAACAUCCAAAUUUGGGCUUUUCUCCUCAAAAUUCAAAUUUUCCUUCUCAAUAGGGCUCUCAUCCUUCAAGAAUAUAUUGUCAAAAAAUCCGCCUUUGCCUUUUUAAAUUCCUUGACCAAUUUUCUGAUCAUUUUUGAGCGCUUCUGCCUCCUGUUAUUUUUUCUAACCUCUUUUGGCUAUUUAUUUUAUUUUUUAUGGGGACCCAAAAAUGGGUUACAACAUCACGUAUUGGUUAAGUUAACCUGUAUUGAUUGGGGUUAUUGUUGCCUCUAUAUCUUUUAUUAUGUUAGGAAAAACUUAAUAUAACCGGCAAGGUAGUGCAAAACACCUACCUGGUCACUAUUAAAAAGAGAUUUAUAGCAGAAGACAAUGUUUGUUUUUGUGGUUGAACCACACUUUUAAAAAUUUUAAAAUUUAUUGUUUUUCUUUGAAUUGAUUUUAUUUUUAUGUUUUUAGAUCGUUUUAAUAUGUUGAUAUCAAAAAUAAAUUUUAAAAAAUAAAAAAAUAUAUUAUUUUAAUAUAUUUUUAAAAAAUAAUCACUACCACAACAACAAACAACAAACAUGAUAUAAUUACCAUCACCAAACACCUUCACUUUUACCAUUUCUCAAUAAUUACUUGCCAUUUCUUGCUCGCAUCCCGUGCUUUUAGUAUCCUUAAAGCUUUUCCACUUCUUCCUUUGUCAACAUCCAAUUCCUUUCCCUUAGAAAAACAAGCUAUGGGUGAUACAGUUUUUAUUAAUUUAUGAAUUAUAAGAUAUAAUGUGUAACUUUUAAAAAUAUAAAAAGUUAAAUAAAAACAUAAUUAAACUAUAAGAGAUUUUUAUAAUUAUUUCUAAAAAUUAACUUGGAAUGCUACCGGUAUCAUAGCAUGGAUCCACUUAUAAACUGCUAUGCUCAUUUGUUUAAAAGAGAAAAGAAAAGUAAAUUAUACUCGAAAUCAUAGUUAAUUUUGGCCUAUAAUAAAACAACUUGAGAUUCCAGGUAAAUUUACGUGUUAGGGUGUGCCUUUAUUUGUAGAAAUUCCUAUAAUCUAGUUGUGGAAAUUCCUCGUUUAAACACUAGUCUGUUUAAUAAUCUUUUCAAGGCUCAACUAUGUUACUAGAUUCAUUUGUUAAAUUAUGAAUUAUAUCAACUUCAAGUUUCCCUCGUCAGAUUUUGAUCCUUAAAUCCGUACUUAGAAGUUCAAGCAGGACCAUGUUACUCUCAUAGAAUUAUAACCGGUAAGGUACGUAGCCUAUAUUUUGUUAAAUUAUGGUAAAAAAAUAAAGAUAUAUAUAUAUAUAUAUAUAUAUAUAUAUAUAUGAAUUUUUAAUGUUUAAUCAUCAGAGUUUUGAUUCAUUCUUUUCUUUUAUAUCUUCUCUCUCCUAUUUUUUUUUUGUACCAUAUCAUCUGUUUUUUUAACUAUUAUAUUAUUUUUAUUUCUUUCAAAUACAUUUUGACUUUUGCAUAGAUAAGUUAUUUAAGAAAGCAAAAACUUCAAUAGAAAAGAAAAAUCAAGUUGACGAAUGUUGUCUUCAAAUCACAGGCGAGUUGCUUCUCAGAAACUUCAAUGCUUUAAUACAGACAGAGACAGGCAUGGCUAAUCAAGUCUGCACCGUGUGGAGCCUAAUCAGUAUAGUUAAAGAGACUGCAGUUUUAAUAUUUUGAUAAAAUUGAACCACCACAUUUAUUGGAGUGGUGUCGUUAUUAUUUUUUAUUUUUAUAUAAAUAUAUUAAAAUAAUAUAUAUUUUUUAUUUUUAAAAAAUUAUUUUUAAUACCAACAUAUAAAAUAAUUUAAAAUAUAAUUGAUGUAUUACGUUUCCACUAAAAUCAGUAAUAAAAAGAGAUCGAUAGCAGAAGUAAAAUCCCAUCACCAAACACUUUCAUCCUUUCCAUUUCUCAUCUCAUACCGCUCUUUCUUCUCAGUAUUUACUUCCCAUUUCGUGCUCACCUCCCCGCUUUUAGUUUCCGUGCACCUUCUCUACUUCUACUUCUCAACAUCCAAUUCCUUUCCCUCCGAAACAAGCUAUGGCUGACGCAGUUGUUUCUGCUGUAGCGAGUGCAAUCUUGGAGAAGUUGAGGUUGCUGGUUCUCAAAGAGGUUAGGUUUGCUCGGGGCCUAGACACCGAGCUUGAGCAUCUCGCAAGCACCCUCGCAAUGGUUCAAGCUGUGCUCCAGGACGCAGAGGAGAAGCAAUGGAAGAGCAAGGCUUUAGAGAUUUGGCUAAGACUCCUCAAGGAUGCAACUUAUGAUGUUGAUGAUGUGCUGGAUGAGUUUGAAAUUGAAGCUCAAAGGCAUCGGCUGCAAAGAGAUGCCAAAAACCGACUGAGAUCCUUCUUUACUCCUGGUCACGGUCCACUCCUUUUUCGAUUGAAAAAGGGGCAUAAAUUGAAAAAUGUGAGAGCAAAAUUGGAUGCCAUCGCCAAUAAGAAAAACAUGUUUGAUUUAACACCAAGAGCUGGAGAUAUAGCAGCUGAUAUCUAUGAUUGGAGGCUUACCAACUCACUCGUGAAUGAGUCAGAAAUUUGUGAAAGACGGAAGGAGAAAGAGGAACUACUCAACAUCCUGCUCUCUAAUGACGACGAUCUCCCUAUUUAUGCUAUAUGGGGAAUGGGGGGACUCGGGAAAACAACACUUGCUCAAUUGGUCUACAAUGAAGAAAGGGUUAUACAACAAUUCGGUUUGAGAAUCUGGGUGUGCGUGUCUACUGAUUUUGACUUAAGAAGAUUAACAAGAGCCAUCAUGGAGCCUAUUGACGGUGCCCCUUGUGAUCUUCAAGAAUUGGAUCCCUUGCUACAACGCCUCCUACAAAAGUUAACUGGAAAGAAGUUUUUGCUUGUGCUGGAUGAUGUGUGGGAAGAUUACACUGAUUGGUGGAGUCAAUUGAAGGAGGUAUUAAGGUGUGGAGCUAAAGGUAGUGCUGUAAUAGUAACUACGCGUGAUGAGCCGGUUGCUCGUAGAAUGGCAACAGCUUUAGUCCAGCCCAUGGGGGUAUUGUCUCAAGAAGAUUCCUGGCAUUUGUUUCAACGGCUUGCAUUUGGGAUGAGAAGGACAGAGGAGUGGGCACACCUGGAAGCCAUUGGAGUAUCAAUAGUGAAGAAGUGUGGUGGUGUUCCUUUAGCUAUAAAGGCACUCGGGAACCUAAUGCGGCGAAAAGAAAGUGAAGAUGAAUGGAAAAAAGUAAAAGAAAGUGAGAUUUGGGAUCUAAGAGAAGAAGCAAGCCAGAUCUUACCUGCUUUGAGGUUGAGUUACACUAAUCUAUCACCACAUUUGAAGCAAUGCUUUGCGUUUUGCGCUAUAUUUCCAAAAGAUCAGGUGAUGAUGAGGGAGGAGCUGAUUGCUUUAUGGAUGGCAAAUGGCUUUAUUUCGUGCAGAAAUGAAAUCGAUCUGCACAUUAUGGGUCUUGGGAUAUUCAAUGAACUAGUGGGAAGGACAUUUCUGCAAGAGGUCCAUGAUGAUGGAUUCGGCAACGUAACAUGUAAAAUGCAUGAUCUUAUGCAUGAUCUCGCACAAUCCAUUGCAAUACAAGAAUGCUAUAUGAGAACAGAAGGCGAUAGGGAGGUGGAAAUUCCUAAAACUGCAUGUAGCUUUUUAUAACAAAUCAGUAGCUUCGUCUUCUGAAGUUCUCAAGGUUCUAUCACUUCGCUCAUUUCUUUUGAGGAAUGAUCAUCUUUCGAAAGGAUGGGGACAGAUUCCUGGUCGAAAACAUCGAGCACUGAGUUUAAGAAAUGUCUGGGCCAAGAAAUUGCCAAAGUCAGUUUGUGAUUUGAAACAUCUAAGGUAUCUAGAUGUGUCAGGCUCCUGGUUCAAAACACUGCCUGAAAGUACAACCUCUCUCCAAAACCUCCAAACACUAGAUCUGAGAGGUUGCAGAAAACUCAUCCAAUUACCAAAAGGUAUGAAGCACAUGAAAAAUCUUGUCUAUCUUGACAUCACGGAUUGUGGUUCACUUCGAUUUAUGCCUGCUGGAAUGGGGCAAUUGAUAUGCCUGCGAAAACUUACCCUGUUCAUUGCGGGUGGGGAGAAAGGUCGUCGCAUAAGUGAGCUGGAAAGGCUGAAUAAUCUCGCUGGUGAACUGAGAAUCGUAGAUCUUGUGAAUGUUAAGAAUUUAAAAGAUGCCAAAAGUGCCAAUUUGAAGUUGAAGACAGCUAGCUCUUUUAUCACUGACUUUAUCUUGGCAUGAGAAUGGAUCUUACCCUUUUGACUCUCGGUCAUUUCCGCCAUCACAACGAAGAAAGAGUGUUAUUCAGAAAAAUAGCGAGGAGGUCCUUGAUGGGCUUCAACCUCCUUCAAAAUUGAAGAGGUUGAGGAUAUUGGGAUACAGAGGUUCAAGAUUUCCUAAUUGGAUGAUGAACUUGAACAUGACGCUACCAAAUCUGGUAGAGAUGGAGCUAUCAGCAUGUGCCAACUGUGAUCAACUUCCAUCAUUGGGGAACCUCCAGUUCCUCAAAAGUCUUAAAUUAUGGGGAUUGGUUGGUGUGAAGAGUAUUGACAGCAUUGUAUAUGGAGAUGGGGAAAAUCCAUUCCCAUCUUUGGAGACGCUGACUUUUGAGUGCAUGGAGGGAUUAAAGGAAUGGGCUGCAUGUACUUUUCCUUGCCUUCGAGAACUGAAGAUAGCUUAUUGCCCUGUGUUGAACGAGAUACCAAUUAUACCCUCCGUCAAAACAUUACACAUCGAGGGAGUGAAUGCUUCGUGGCUCAUGUCAGUUAGGAAUCUCACUUCUAUCACCUCCCUUUAUACAGGACAGAUUCCAAAAGUGAGGGAGCUUCCUGAUGGGUUUUUGCAAAAUCAUACCCUUCUUGAAAGCUUAGAAAUUGAUGGGAUGCCAGAUCUGAAGUCUUUGUCAAAUUGGGUAUUAGAUAACCUUACUGCUCUUAAAAGCUUGAAGAUUCAGUGGUGUUAUAAGCUUAAAAGCUUGCCAGAGGAAGGUCUUCGUAACCUCAAUUCCUUGGAGGUUUUAGACAUACAUGAUUGUGGAAGAUUAAAUUCUUUGUCAAUGAAUGGGUUAUGUGGCUUAUCUUCUCUUCGUAAGUUAUUUAUUAGAAAUUGUGAUAAAUUCACAUCUCUAUCUGAGGGAGUGCAACAUUUGACGGCACUUGAGGAUUUGUUGCUUCAUGGAUGUCUAGAGCUGAAUUCAUUGCCAGAGAAUAUCAAACAUCUCACUUCUCUCCGAUCUCUACAUAUACUGAACUGCAAGAGAUUAGCUUCUUUGCCAAAUCAAAUUGGACAUCUCACGUCUCUUGCACGCUUGACGAUUGGGGGUUGCCCUAAUUUGGUGUCUUUACCAGAUGGGGUGCAGAGUCUCAGCAACCUCAGCUCAUUGAUAAUUGAAAAUUGUCCAAAAUUAGAGAAGAGGUGUAAGAGAGGGAGAGGAGAGGACUGGCCUAAGAUAGCUCAUAUCCCUGAGAUUAUAAUAUACUAAAAAUGAAGGUAAUUUCUCCUAUAGCAGUAGUAAGCUCUCUUUCAAUUCAAUAUUUUAGAUACACACACAUAUCUGUGUUCUCUUAUGGUUAUUGGCUGAGGUUGCUUCAUGAAUAAUUGAUCUCAAUUAUAUUUUUACUUUCCUAUUGUAAUGCCUAAAGAUAACCUACAAUGUAGUAAUUGAAUCCUAAUAGAAAGGAAAGUCUGAAAUCCUGCUUGUAUAAAUAUACAUGAAGAGAUCAAUGAUAAUAUUACUCCAGCAGAUUCAAUUUCUCUGCCUCUCAAGUUUUACAUCGUUAAGUUAAUUUAUGGUUUCAUUUCUGCAUAGUAAAUCAGUACCUGUUGCUCGCACAUUCUUAUUUUAGUGUCAUGUUUGCGGCACCUCAUGAUUUUUUUUAUACAUUAGUCUUCCAUGAUUUUUCUAUAAAUUAAAGACCCGUGCACAAAAAAAAAAAAAAAAAAAAGGGGACAUAUUAAUUAAAACAGUUGGUCUCGCGCGUGAUCAAUGAAUUGAACAGAUAAUUUAGUAAUUUAAACCUCUUAAUUUCAGGUUAGUCUUCCAGUUAGACUUCUAAUAACAGUGUAAAAUGAUGAGGUAAUUUCAUUCUUCAAAAAUACAUAAAAAUCCACUCUCUCUUGCUUACUCUCUCUCUAGAUGGUGUGGGACAGUUCAUUCUCUGAUAUCAAGAAGAUUGGAAAGCGGCUGAUCAGCUAACCCGAAUAUAUAUUUAAUUCAAGCAUGUUUUAAGAACUCGUAUAUAAAGAUGAUAAUUUAAUUUAAAAUCGAUGAUAUUAACCUAACCCGAAUGUAUAUUUAAUUGAAAAUCAAUGAGUAUUGACCUAACCCUAACCCGAAUAUAUAUGCAUUUUUUAGACUUUAUUGACAAAUCAAGAACCAUUUCAGAUUCACUGCACAAACACAGCCAACCAUGUAUAAAAACAUUGCAAACAUCAAAAAGCACACCAUCAGCUAUAACCAACUCAAAUGAUUUAACAAAAUAUCAUGAAUUCAUGAUUCCUAAAUGCAACAGUAUAACAUUAAAACAUUCUAGAAAAACAUAACAAUUAACAGUACCUAAAACUAAACCUUUAAUUACAGAUGAAACACCACCAUAUAUAAACAUGGAAUGCAGCAUGCCACUUCAUAUUUCAGUAACAGUGGGACUCAAAUAAAAAAGUUUGUAAGCGCAUAAAAUAAGCUAAGGUAUAAUAUACAUAUGCAUUCCAUAUGUGAGCAUCACAUUUCUGUACACUUUUAUUAAUGAACCCGUGCCCACAAAAAUAUUCUCUUCCAUCCCUUCCCAAGCUCCCACUCCGCUUGAACAAAAUAGAAAGCUCCAAGAGAUAUGCACAUGUUUUUUCCAGAUUGCAUAAAAGCUCCUUCCGAAUCAUAAAUUCCGAGCAUUUCUUUUCUAAUGAAAAACUUUACUUCGAAGAAAAACUUUUAUACGAAUGCAGUUUCAGUAAAUCCCCAGCACAUCAGGUGAAUUCUUAAAUUUACACAAUCACCUUUAGUUAGUCUAACAGCUUUGUCUUUCUUCUAUUGUAGCUUAGAAAAAUAUUUCCAAAAAACUGCCCUCGAUCUAUAACGGACAAACAUCAAGUCAUCUUAUAUGCAGGGACUCUAUUCAAGAAGUUUGUAAUGAAGCCAACACACAUCAGGUGAGUUCUUGCAUUUACACAAGUUAAUUCUUGGUUAGUUUACCAGCUUUUUCUUUCUUUCUCAUGUACCUUCAAUUUAUAAUUAAGAAACAUCAAGUCAUCUUAAUUUAUAAUUAACAAACUAUAUUCAAGAAGUAUGUAUCACAAAACCCAAAUUGUGCAAUGGCAUGUGCUUGAAAAACAAAAACUAAGCUCUGACUUCAAGAUGGGGCAAAUACAGCCAUAAUCUGGACCUGCAGUCCUAACGAUCACCCAACUAAAAACGCUAUAUACAAUUGAAUAUUCUACCAAGUACAGACAUACACUGAUAUAUACAGUAUCUUUCAAACCUCAAAACCACACUAGACCAAUCAAAUUCAAACGGAUAGAAGAGCUAAACUUAUUGUAUUUCCAUGGAAAUAUAUUUUGAUCUUUCCCACAAUGAAAGCGGGUGACUUGCUUAUUUCUUGUAGAAUAUGACUCAUUUAUAUAUUAUAUGUAUAUUAAUUUAAAAAUUUAAAUUGUUAUGUAAAAUUUUAAAAUGUGAUUUAUAUCAUUUUUUAGUAUACAUUUUAUGUGAUUAAUUAAUUUUAAAUAUAAUAAAAAAUAAAAAUAAUAAUAUUCAAACUCGUGAUUGUUUAAGUAUCAAAGCUUUAAUAUAAUAUUAAAUAACUAUUUAAACAAAAUAAUUUAGACCAUUAAAUAAUUUUUUAAAAUAUUAUUUAUAUUAUUUUUUAAUAUUUUUCAGCCACACGAUCCAAAGCUCGUAAUAGGAACUGAUUUUAGUGUGCCACACAUUACCUAUCCAUGCUCUAAAGGUUCUAGCUGUAAGUUUCAUGCUUUACCCUGUUUUAAUGAGGAUAUAUUCUGAAUUUCAUUUUAGAAAAGCUAUUUUUUAUUUUUUAUUUUUUAUUUUUAUUUAAGAAAAGGUUAUAAUGUAAAACGUGAUGGAACUCCUAUUGGAUAAAAAAUAAUAUGAAAAAACUUCAUCCCUGACAGUAGACAUCUCUCAUUUGAGUCACACAUCCAUCCAUAUCAAUUUUUAUUUAAUAAAACUUUGUUAUUUUGGACAAUAUUUCUGUUAAAAAAAAAGAGAGUAUAUUUUAGAUAGUAAACCCAAUUAAAGAAUGCUGGGCACUUUAGUAACCUAAUUGAAAAGGAUAUUUAGUUUCAGGAUUUUAAAAGUGUUUAAAAUUAUGAUAGAGGAUGCUUUUUAAAAUAUUUUUUUAUUAAAAAAUAUAUUAAAAUAGUAUUUUUUUAUAUUAGAAAAUCAAAAUAAUAAAAAAAUACUAAAAAAUAUUCAAUUGAAGCUUUUAAAAUAAAUUUUAAAAAGUGUUGUUCAUCAAUUGAUAGGUGGUGAACUAAUUAAAGUUAAGGAAAUUCAAGUUCUGAAUCCCUUUAAUCUUAAAAUAAAAUAUAUUCUGGCUAUAAUAAAAUAAAAUAAAAUUCCUAGUCAAAUCUACCAUAGAAGAAGGCCUUCCAUGGAAAAGGACCACAGGCUUUGAUGGUGGCUCCAUUUUCUACCUUUUAAAAUUGCUCGGCCCAGCCCAACUAUCACCACCACCAUGUAACUAACUUAAUUUCGCGCCAAGCCUCAACAUCAACGGCCCCCCUAGUCUCAGUUCCCGCCGUCCAGUUCUCCACACCAAAUCUGUCCAAGGUCACUCGAUGUUCCCCUCAAUCUCUCAUGCACAUUCAUAUGCAUGGAUGGAAUUAGGUUUUAGGUCGCUGUAAUAGUUUAGUUUUCAGGCUGAAAUGUAAAAAAGACCGAUUUGAUUUCACUUUCAUGUAUUAGAAACUCAUUUGACUUGUUCAAGAAAUCGGAUUUGAGGUGGGUUUUAUACAAUUUUCCGAGAUUAACUUCUUUUUUUUGUGUGUUUCUGGUUUGUUAAUUGUGGUUGUUGAUGGAAGUAAUUGGUAAUGUAGUUUAUGUAUUUGUAGAAAGUCUCCAGUCAACACGUUCAUUGAUUGUUUCAAACUUGAGCAAAUCAUAUCCAUUGCUGACUGUUUGAUGGUUAACCACUAGUCUUGUUUAAUAAUUUUUUCAAGGAUUUUAAAUAAUCUCUUACUCUCUGCCUCUCUCAACUCUUUUUGAGCCUUCGAAUAGAAGAGUCUGCAUUCAUUUACUUGAGAUAUGUAUAGGCAUGGAAGCCCCAUUCAGCUGACAGAUAAUUGCCACUAUAGAGACCAUUACUCUAUUGAAACCCAUUUCGUUACCACAACGUGUCACCUGUUCCAUCUUAGUUCAUUGUUAUUUAAUUCUUAAAAAAAUGGAUAGAUAUGCGUCUUUAAUACAAGAUUGUAUUUAUAUACUAAAUUACAAUGAUCCGUCCGUGCUCGAUGCGAUAUUUCUGGUAUCAAUUAACAAAUAAGAUAUUGAGGAUUCUAGGCAAAUUGAAUUAUUAUUCCAAUAGACCCUAGAAAGUUUCAGGAUGUAAUAGUUGAUUUAGUGGCUAAUACUUGAUAGGGCAUAAUCACCGAUUUAGUUUUAGAAGUAGUGUUGAUUUUUCAGUCUUCUUCCUCUUCUUUUCCCUAGCUAACUUCCGUCUUCUAUUGCAAGGACUUUGGAAAUCAAUGUCAACUUUGAUGUUGAUAGCCCUGCUGCAAUGCCACAAACACCAGCCCCGCCGCAAUCAACUAGACCAUCUCGUUCUAUAAGAUGGCUAGGCACAAACUCUUCUGAUUAAGAAGACUCGCCAACCACUGCUGUGCAGCCUGCUCCUCCCACUAUAGGCAGCUGAUCACAGAUGGCUAGCAGGACUGCUGCUCUGACCAAGAUGAAUCGCAAUGCAACCAUUAGGAAUUGCUGAAUAUGAUGAAGAGGAAGAAGAUUCUGAGGUUACAUCAGGGGAAGAUUCGUAUGACUGUCCAUUAUGCUGAAUGAGCAUUUUACAGAUUUUCCUUGCAAAUAUCGUGCUUUCUCAACACUAUAAUCUGUUGUAUUCUUGUUGUCUUUGUUAAUGCUGGGUUUUGUAUGGAAGUUAGAUAGGUUCGGUAGCUCUUUUGUAGUGUUCAUUUUACUUUGGGGGAUGGACAUCCUGCCAGUAAAAUCACCUCUAAACUACUUGUGUGAAUCUUAAUUCAUCUAUGAGAUUGAAGUAAGUUCUCAUGAGUUUUCCAGGGUUGUACAUUUGCCCAAGCUUUUCAUUUCGGGGUCAAUUUAGGGGUUAUUUGUUUACGCAGCUGCAACUGCUUUUAAAGCAAACUGUGUACACAAUACGUUUGGUAACAAUAAAACACGAAUUACAGCAUACGUGGUACCCGUUAAAAACACUGGUUUGUGAAAAGCAGCUCUCGGCUGCUUCUCACGCGGCUGCGUCUAAUGCCCAGGUGAAUCAAUUCACCUGGGCACUUUUCACUACAAGUGAACAAUGCUAUUCACUUGGCACUGUUCAUAGUAAAAAAAAUUAUAUUUUUUUUAUGUGUUUUAUUCAAAAAAUUAGAAGGAAAUCGUUUAAUGACAUAACAAAAAAUUCAGUUUUUGUUGUUGCAUACUUAAAAAACCAUGGAAAAUAUAGUCCUUGUUUGGUAGAUUUCGUAUGAAAUUGUAUAUAGUUUAAUAGAAUAAUAAAAAAUAUUUAAUAUUAAUAUUAUUUAUUUCAUGAUGUAAUAACAGUAGUUAAAUCUAUAAUAUUUAAAUUAAAAGCCAUUAAUAUAUAUAUAUAUAUAUAUAUAUAUAAUCUCAAUUUGAAAAGUAUUUUUUUAACCAAACACAUUAAACUAUUUUUUGUUUAACCUCAAUUUCAACCAUAAUUUUAACUAAACAUAUAUUUUUUCAAAUCAAUCUCAAUUAAAAAUACUUUUUAUAAAAUAUUUUUUUUUCAAACUAUAACCACAAUCGCUAUUACAAUACCAAACAUACUUUUAAUUAUAGGCUAGUUAUAUUUCUAUGUACAUAGGGCCAUGACAGUUCAAGGGAUCGUGGGCUGAACUUUUGGAUGUUGCAUUAUCACUUUGGGUUUUUCUUUUGAUUGUACAAGAAAUUUGAAAGAACAAUCCAUAUGUUGCAUUAUCACUUUGGGUUUUUCUUUUGAUUGUACAACAAUGAACAAAGAGAUAUUUGAAACCACAAUCCAUAUGUUGCAAGCAGAAGUCACAGCUCACACCCACAAGGACAAGUUAAAGGUAGAUAGAUAGGCUUGUAGCCGGAAUCCGGGAAGUUCCUACACAGCAAUGAAACCAAGCCUUAUUCUCCUACUAAUAACUCGCUUAGAAACCCCCCUCCUCCGGGAAGUUCCUACAUCUCACACGGGCAAACUUGCACCACAGUUUUGAAACCAAGCAUAGGAUGAAACGAAGAACGAAAGAGUCAUAAAAAAAUGCACCACAGUUUUGAUCAGAUCUUUUGCGAUCUUUGGAUAUAAAAGUGAAGGGUACAUUGCCUCUUGGUUGCAUAAUUUCUUAAUGGAGAGGCACCUAGAGGACGUUCUUGACUUUGGGGAGUAUACAAAAGCAAACCCACAAUCUUAUCUUUUCUUCAGUCUUUUAUCUUUUCUUGAUUUGUCAAGUCUACAACGUGUGAAGCCUACGCGGAUUGGCCAGUGCGGGACAAAGACAUUUACUAACCGACAAGCUAAUUCAAGUUGAUGAAUGUUGUCUUCAAAUCAUAGCCAUGUUACUUCUCUGAAACUUCAAUAGCUUUAAUAUAGGCAUAGCUAGUCGAGUCUGCACCGUGUAGAGCCCAAUCAAUAUAUAGUUAGAGGACUGCAGUUUUAAUAUUUUAAUAUAAUUAAAACCACCACAUUAUUUACAAUUACAUUACCAAAAGAAAAACGAUUAAAAGCUAGCAGUAAAACACUCUGGUGCAAGAAACGUUUACACUUUUAGUAUUCUAAAAAAACUAGCAAGUUUCUUCUAAUCGGGUAAAAUCAACUUUUCAACUGAUCAAUUAUGCAUUACAAAAUCGAGUGGUAACAAAUUAGUCCAUACACUUUUUUUUUCCAUGGUGAAAUGAGUUUAUUGUUGAGUUUUCCAAAUAAAAUAUACACGUGGCAAUAAAAACAAUAAAACAAAAUUAUUUAGAAGUCUCUAGUAUCUCAUUAGAUAAAUAUAAAAUUGUUUAGGAAUUUAUUACCUAAAGAUAUGAUCUUCUUUAACUUUAAAUAAUUCUUUAAAGGUUGAGUUAUCACAAACUAUAAAUUAUACAACUAUCUAGCAUCCAACGGUAAUCUACACGAACCACCAGUAAGAAAUCUUUUAAAUCCCUAAUUAGAAGAGAAAUUGUUAUACUUAGAUUGUUAUCUCUAAUUUUGUAUUUAUAUAGUUUUUAUGUUUAAUUGACAAUCUAAUAAAAAAAUAAAAUGCAUAACUUGCUAUCCAUAUAUUAAUUCAAGAAAAAUUUAGAAAUUAACUCAAUCAAGUACUUAUUUGAUUUUUCUAGGUCUAAAAAUAUAAUACUUGUAUUUAUUAUAUUUUAGUCGUUAACUUCUAAAAUAUAUUUUAAUCAAGCCGUACUCAUCCCAGUUUAAUUUCUACCUAAAAGUUUUUAAUAUGUAUGACCUAUUAAGUUCUUAAUAUGUUGGCCCAAAUAUAAAUUAUAAUUAUAAUUAAAUAGAAUUAAUUAAAUUAAACAAUUUAAUUUAUUAUCAAUUCAAUAAUUGAUUAAUUUAUAUUUGAAUACAAUGUGCAUCGUCUAUCAACGUGUCUUGAUCUUCUAAAUAUUUAAAAAAUCAUUAGUGGUUUGACUUAACCUUCCAGUGAUCAAUUUCUCAGUGUAAUUAAUAUACUUUCAUUAAUAAUGUUUUGAUUUAACAUUAAAGUAUGGGGUAUAUCUGCCAUGUUAAAUCAUGUUUAUUCUCUAUAUAAUAGUCAUUGAUCAUUUAAAUAAUAUUUGUAACUCUUUUUAAUCUCAUUCCUUCUUGGUUAUCAAUUUCUCAGUCAAUACUAUUUAAGAAUAGAUAAACUAUUUUUUUAAUUCACUUAGGAUGAUGAAUCUUCUUUUUAUCACUCAAGUAUUUUUAUUAUUAUUAUUUCUUAAGAAUAGUGAAGAGACAGAAUUUUUCCUUAAUAAAAAUAAUAUAAGUAUGGUUCCAGGGGGGUUUUUGUAUUUUUCUUAAUUUUUUAAAGUUGAGCCAGGGGUUGUUUUGUAAUUUUAGGAAAAUAAAUAUUAUAAAAAAAACUGUUGACGUGUGCAAAUCAUGUGUUAGCGCAUGCAGAGCCGUUCGAUGACCAAAAUCAGUCAUCUACAACAAUGUUUGGAGGGGAGCGUUGUCCUCUUUGCAUUGGCGAGGUGUGUGUUCACGGUAAAGGUGCAGUUGGGUUCCAAUGAGCUUUUUUUAUUAUUAUUUUCUUAUCUCUUCUCUUUCUUUUAGCUUAAAAAUUCAUGUGUCCUUCCAAAAUUUGAUUGUGUCCUCUAGUUUCUAUUUCUAUCAAUUUUAAUUCUCAUUCUUUUGAUUACUAUUUGUUUUUCAUUUAAUACUUUUUGAACUUUUUUUAAAAAAAAAUCAGACAUUUUGUUUCAUUUAGUUUUUGUAUCCAAUUUAGUUCUCAUUCUUUUGAUUUUAUUUUUUUUGUGUUUUACUAUUUUCUUUAUUUGUUUUUAUUUUAUUUUUUCCUUCAUCAUUUUAUUCCCUUUAAUUGUUUUUAUUCAAGUUUGAUCCUCAUUCUUUUGAUCUAUGUAUUCUUAUUAUUUUCUUGAUUUUUUUUUAACCCUCAACAUUUUAUUUCAUUUAAUUUCUUUAUCAAUAAUGAUUCCCAUUCUUUUUAUUGCUAUUUUUAUUUUAUUUUGUCUUUUUCAAUUUAAUCUCGAAUUAUUUUUUUUCAUUUGGUUUUUAUACCAUAUUUGAUCCUUAAUAUUUUGAUUACUAUUUGUUUUUUUAAAAAAAAAAAAAAUUAUGAUUGGAAAUUUUACUUCGUGAUUUUUAUUUGUGUUUACCAUUCCGCACGAUAAUCAUAUUCUCAUUAUCUAGAUCAUUGCUUUCGAAUAUUAGCCCAAUUUAAGUUAGGUCUUUUUUUUAUCCUUCACUAAUUUUUUUAUAAUUUUAUCAUUUGACUUUGGGUUAUUGAAGCUUGAGCUUUGUUAUUUGUUCAACUUUUAUUUUUUUGAGUUUAUCACGAUCUAAUAUCUUGGACGGAAGGUUAAUCGAGUUAACUCGAGUUGACUCAAUGUGUUUUUUUCUCAAAUUUUUUUUAAGAAUUUUUUUUUUUAUAUUAUUGACCUUGAGCUUUAUGAUUCUUUCACUUUUUUUAUGUGGGGUCAUUCUGAGUGGAGGUUAGUCAAGUUAACUUAGGUUUUUUCUGACGUUUCUUUUAUUUAACUUUAGUCUUUUAUUCUAGGUCCUUUUAAAAAUAUAUAUAAUUUUUUUUAUCCUGAUCUCAUAUUAUGGAUGAUAAGUUGGUCAAGUUAACCUAAGUUGACUCGGUUUUGUUUUUUGAUGUUACUUUUUCUUAAACUUGAUUUUUUUUUAAUUUUAUCAUUUGACAAUAGGUUAUUAGGCUUUGAGCUUUGUUAUGCUUUUUUUUUUUUACUUUCUUUUCUUCAAGGUAAUCUCGAUCUCAUAUUCUAUGUCACAUAUUGGUUAAGUUAACCUGUAUUGAUUAGGGUUAUCAUCGGCUGCACAUCUUUUAUUAUGUUAGGAAUAACUUCACCAAACCCGCAACGUAGAGCAAAACACCUACCUAUUCACUAUUAAAAAGAGAUUUAUAGUAUAAGUCUCUUUUUAAUAGUGAAUAAAAAGAGAUUUAUAGUAUAAGUAAGAUAAUGUUUGUUUUUACACUUGAGGGCAUAGCUACUGUGGUAAACUGCAAGGCUUGUCUUUGCGAACGUCCCGGGUUCGACCCUCUCUGUGUACCCUGUCACCCCCGCGGUGUCUUACCUGCUCACUGGGCUUGCAAGAUGUUCAGUGGACCUCGGGGAUUAGUUGUGGUGCGCGCAAGCUGGCCCGGACACCCCGAGUUACAAAAAAAAGAGAAGAUAAUGUUUGUUAUUGUGGUUGGACCGCACUUUUUAAAAAAAUUAAUUUUUUUCUUUUAAUUUCAAUUAAUAUUUUUAUAUUUUUAAAUUGUUUUAAUAUAUCUAUAUCAAAAAUAAAAUUUAAUAAAUAAUAAUAAAAUAUUAUUUUAAUAUAUUUUCAAAUAAUAUUUAUUUUAAAAAAUAAUAUUUGAAAAUAACAAUAUUGUAUAAUUACCAUCACCAUACACUUUCACCUUUUACAUUUCUCAAUAAUUACUUGCCAUUUCUUGCUCGCAUCCCGUGCUCUUAGCUAUCCUUGAAACUUUUCCACUUCUUUCUUUGUCAACAUCCAGUUCCUUUGCCUUAGAAAACAAGCUUUGGCUGAAACAUUUUUUUUAUUAAUUUAUGAAUCAUAACAUAUAAAGUGUAAUUUUUAAAAAUAUAAAGGUAAAAUAAAAACAUAAUUAAACUAUAAGAUAUUUUUAUAAUUAUUUCUAAGAAUUAACUGCUAUGGAUGCACUUUGAAACUGCUAUGCUCAUUUGGAAAAAAAGAAAAGAAAAGUAAAUUAUACUCAAAAUCAUAGUUAAUUCUGGCCUAUAAUAAAACAAAUUGAGACUCCAAGUAAAUUUAUGUGUUUGGGUGUGCCUAUAUUUGUAGAAAUUCAUAUAAUCUACUUGUAGAAACUCCUCGUUUAAACACUAGUGUGUAUAAUAAUUUUUUCAAGGCUCAACUAUGUUACUAGCUAGAUUCAUUUGUUAAAUUAUGAAUUAUAUCAACUUCAAGUUUCCCUCGUCAGAUUCUGAUCCUUAAUCUAUGUUUAGAAGUUCAAUCAGGACCAUGUUAUUUGUGAGAAGUCCUCAUAAAACCCAUUUUAUUAUGGUUAGAAAAGGAUAGAAUAGAAGUGUUUCAAGCAGAUAGUGUUGAGGCAAUUUCUUCCUUUCUCUGUCAGUUUAAUCAUAGGCUCGUUAUAUUUCCCUGCACAGAGGGUCAUAUCAGCGCAAGGGAUCGUGGGCUAAACUUUUGGAUGUUGCAUUAUCACUUUGGAUUUUUCGUUUGAUGGUACAACAGAGAACAAAGAGAAAUUUGAGAGUUUUUUUAUACACGCAGUAGACAAAAAUAUUUCACAAAUUAGCACAGUAGUGGAUAAGUACGUUAGCAUAUGAGCAACUAGGCAUGUUUGUGUUUUUCUUGUUGAAUUCAUUUUCAAUGGUAUUUAAAGUUUUAUAAUCAGAAUUAUUUGAGAAAGUAAUUAUUCUUUAUAAAAAUACAUUUUGACUUUUGCAUAGAUAAAUUAUUUGAGAAAGCAAAAACUUCAAUUGAAAAGAAAAAUCAAGGUGGAAUGUUGUCUUCGAAUCACAACCGUGUUGGUUCUUAGAAACUUCAAUAGCUUUAAUACAGGCAUGGCUGGUCAAGUCCGCACCGUGUGGAGCCUAAUGUAAUUCUUCAAAAUUUAAGAGUGUAGAGCCACGCGGGUUGGCAAGCGCGGGAAGAAGACGUUUAGUAACCAACAAGGAAAUUCAAGUUGACAGAUGUUGUCUUCAAAUCACAGGCGUGUUGCUUCUCAGAAACUUCAAUGCUUUAAUAUUUUGAAAAAAUUGAACCACCACUCUAAAAUCACAAAUAUUUGAAAAUAUAAUAACUAUUAAUAACUUUUCUUCCUUUCCCUAUUCAUGUCCAAGAUAGACUAAUAUUUGAUUAUUCCAGAGAGUGAGCAAUUAUUUGGUCCUUCUGCACUUCUCUUUUCCAUAACCAAUCUUGCAUUAUCAUUUGACAGAUUUCGUCUUCCUGUCACAGCCAUGUUCCUUCUCUGAAUCUUCAAUUGCUUUAUUAUAGCCAUAGCUAGUCAAGCUCCACCGUGUGGAGCCUAAUCAAUUUAUUCACAGAAUAGCACAGGUAAAGCCCAUCACCAAACACUUUCACCUUUUCCGUUUCUCAUCUCAAACUGCUCUGUCUUCUCAAUAUUUACUUACUAUUUCUUGCUCACAUCCCCUUCUUUUAGUUAUCCUUACAGCUUUUCUACGUCUUCUUGUCAACAUACAAUUCAUUUCCAUUCGAAACCAAGCUAUGGCUGAUGCAAUUCUUUCUGCUCUCGCGAGUACAAUCAUGGGAACUUGAAUUCCCCAAUUCUUCAAGAGCUUGGAUUGCUGGGGGCCUAACGACAGAGCUUGAAAAUCUCAAGCGCACGUUCAGAACCAUUCAAGCUGUGCUGCAAGAUGCAGAUGAGAAGCAGUGGAAGAGUGAGCCUAUCAAGGUGUGGCUCAGCGACCUCAAGGAUGCAGCUUAUGCUGUUGAUGAUGUACUGGAUGAGUUUGCAAUUGAAGCUCAGUGGCUUCUGCAGCGAAGAGAUCUCAAAAACCGAGUAAGAUCCUUCUUUUCUUUUGGUCAUAAUCCACUAGUUUUUCGACAAAGGAUGGCUCAUAAAUUGAAGAUUGCUAGAGAAAAACUAGAUGCCAUUGCCAAGGAGAGACAAAAUUUCCACCUAACAGAGGGGGGUGUGGAGAUGCAAGCAGAUAGUUUUGUUCAGCGUCAGACUUGGUCUUCGGUGAAUGAAUCAGAAAUUUGCGGAAGAGGCAAGGAGAAAGAAGAACUAGUCAGCAUCCUGCUCGAUAAUGCAGACAAUCUCCCUAUUUAUGCUAUAUGGGGGAUGGGGGGGCUGGGUAAAACAACACUUGUUCAACUGGUCUACAAUGAACAAAGGGUUAAACAACAAUUCGGUUUGAGGAUCUGGGUGUGUGUAUCUACUGAUUUCAAUCUCGGAAGAUUAACAAGAGCCAUCAUAGAGUCCAUUGAUGGUGCCUCAUGUGAUCUUCAAGAAUUGGAUCCCUUGCAACAACGCCUCCAACAAAAGUUAACUGGAAAGAAGUUUUUGCUUGUACUGGAUGAUGUGUGGGAUGAUUGUAUGAUUGGUGGAGUAAAUUGAAGGAGGUAUUAAGGUGUGGAGCUAAAGGUAGUGCUGUCAUAGUAACUACGCGUAUUGAGAUGGUUGCUCGUAAAUGGCAACAGCUUUUGUCAGCACAUGGGGAGAUUGUCUGAAGAAGAUUCUUGGCAUUGUUUCAACAGCUUGCAUUCGGGAUGAGAAGGAAAGAGGAGCGGGCACACCUGGAAGCCAUUGGAGUAUCAAUAGUGAAGAAGUGUGGUGGUGUUCCUUUAGCUAUAAAGGCACUCGGGAACCUAAUGCGGCUAAAAGAUAAUGAAGAUCAGUGGAUAGCUGUCAAAGAAAGUGAGAUUUGGGAUCUAAGAGAAGAAGCAAGCAAGAUCUUACCUGCUUUGAGGUUGAGUUACACUAAUCUAUCACCACAUUUGAAGCAAUGCUUUGCGUAUUGCGCUAUAUUGCCAAAAGAUCACGUGAUGAGGAGGGAGGAGCUGGUUGCUUUGUGGAUGGCAAAUGGCUUUAUUUCUUGCAGAAGAGAAAUGGAUUUGCACGUCAUGGGCAUUGAGAUAUUCAAUGAACUAGUGGGAAGGUCAUUUCUGCAAGAGGUCGAGGAUGAUGGAUUUGGCAACAUAACAUGUAAAAUGCAUGACCUUAUGCAUGAUCUCGCACAAUCCAUUGCAGGACAAGAAUGCUAUAUGAGUACCAAAGGCGAUGGGAAGUUGGAAAUUCCUAAAACUGCCCGUCAUGU
rnacentral:lncRNA from 1 species